rnacentral:lncRNA from 1 species
ACCCGUACCGACUUUUCUCUAAGGGAGGAUGGAACUUUAAUGUUUGGUGAUAGACUAUGUGUACCUAGAGUGGAAAGCUUGAAGAGAGAGAUUAUGGAGGAAGCCCAUUGUUCUGCUUACUCUAUGCAUCCAGGCAGUACAAAAAUGUACAGAGAUCUUAGAGAAAACUAUUGGUGGCCAGGUAUGAAGAAAGAAAUAGUUGACUUUGUGUCCACAUGCUUAGUUUGCCAACAGAUUAAAGCAGAACAUCAGCAUCCAACAGGGAAGCUGCAACCGCUCCCUAUUUCGGAAUGGAAGUGGGAACACAUUACUAUGGAUUUUGUUUCUGGAUUACCUCGUACUUCACAUGGACAUAAUGCAGUAUGGGUGAUAGUUGAUAGAUUAACCAAGUCAGCACACUUUUUGCCUGUCAGGAUGGAUUAUUCUUUAGACAAGUUAGCAGAGAUCUAUGUCAAUGAGAUUGUAAGACUUCAUGGUGCUCUAGUUUCUAUUGUUUCAGAUAGAGAUCCAAGAUUCACUUCUCGUUUUUGGCCUAGCUUGCAAAAUGCCUUAGGCACCAAGUUGAAGUUUAGCACUUCCUUCCACCCUCAAACUGAUGGUCAAUCAGAAAGAACUAUUCAGACCUUGGAGGAUAUGCUGAGAGCUUGUGUGAUGGAGUUUAAAGGAAGUUGGGAUAGGUAUGUGCAUUUAAUGGAGUUUUCUUAUAAUAAUAGUUAUCAUUCGAGUAUCGGUAUGGCUCCUUAUGAAGCUUUAUAUGGGAGAAGAUGCAGAAUGCCAUUGUGUUGGAAUGAGGUAGGGGAAAGACAAUUAGAAGGUCCAGAACUAGUACAACACACUACAGAUAAAAUUCAGAUGAUCAGAAGUAGAUUAAAAGCAGCACAAGACAGACAGAAGAGUUAUGCAGAUCUGAAGAGAAGGGAUAUUGAAUAUAAUGUUGGCGACAAGGUAUUUCUAAAGAUCUCACCAUGGAAAGGGGUUGUACGUUUUGGCAAACGUGGAAAAUUGAGUCCGCGAUUCAUAGGACCAUAUGAGAUUUUAGAGAGAAUUGGACCAGUUGCUUAUCAUUUAGCACUACCUCCAGAGCUAUCUCAGAUUCAUGAUGUCUUCCAUGUAUCUAUGUUAAGGAGAUACAGAAGUGACCCUUCCCACAUCCUCCAGAAACAGCCUAUCGAGUUGAGGGAAGAUUUAACAUAUGAAGAAGAGCCAGUAGAGAUCAUUGCCAGAGAAGAGAAGGUUUUAAGGAGCAAGAUAAUAUCCCUGGUUAAAGUUCGAUGGAGUAAUCAUUCUGCUAAAGAAGCUACCUGGGAAAAAGAAGAGAAUAUGCAAAUUCAAUUUCCACAUUUAUUCCCUUCACCAGGUAUGUAAAAUUUCGAGGACGAAAUUUCUUUUAGGAGGAGAGAAUUAUCGGGCCCUGGCCCAGCCCAUAAAAAAAAAAAAAAGAAAAAAGAAAUAUAGGGCAUUAAAGCUCUGGUUUCGGGAAUGUCCCAAAACAUUCCCGAAACCAAAGCAUGCUGUCUUCCUCCCUCGCGAAAUAGAGAAGAACCUCUGUUUAAAAAAAAAAAAAUUCCUCCUUAACUCAAAUCUCCUCCUUCUCAACCCAACCAACCCAUAAACUUCUAAGAUCCUUCAGCUAGAUCCUGAUUUAAACCUAUAUUCUGCUCAGAAAUUCAAUAAUUUCUUCCUGAGGCUCCAAAAUUGGGUAGGUGAGUUUUAUUCCUUUUAUUCAAAUUUUUACGAUAUAAUUUAUUUUCUUUUUUCUUUUAAUAGUUAUUUUGUGAUUUGAGGAUAAAAAUGGGUUAUGUUUUAGUUAGAUCCAAUCAAUGGGGUUAUAAAUUUCUUUUUGGAUUACUGAUUUUCAUAGGUUGAUUUAAAUAAUAUUUACAGCUUAUUGAGUAUUUUUGUUGAGUUUAGGUAUUUUUGGGAGGUCUAGCUAUGCCGAAAUACUACCCAAAUUUUCUUAAAAAUAUAUAUAAAAAUAUUUUAAAAUUUCGUAUUUUACGUUUUAUAUUAUUGUUCUAGAGCAUUUUUAUUAUUUGAUAUAUUAUUUUAUUUUCUUUUUAAUUCUAGGAGAGGAUCCAGCUUCCAGGAUAGAUAAUAGGGGUCCUCCUGCGACCUAGGCCUUUUGUCCCAAGUAUUCUGGUGAGUGGAUAAAUAUAUAAUAUUGAUAUUUUUUUUAAAUAUAUUUAUAUGUGUAAAUGUUACUUUGUUUAUUUAAAAUGGGAAAGGAUAAAGUUAAUUUAUAUUCCUUGAAUAAAUGGAAAUUGAAUUUAAAGCACAGCUGAAUAAAUAGCCGAUUACACUCUGUAUAUGCACCGAACAGAUAACACCUUGAUGACAGGUGAUUUAUUUUCAGCAUGAUAUAUAUUUAUACUGUCUUUGGGACAGCGCUCGAUAUACAGACAGCCUUUGAGGCGUAUGUCAGAUGGUCACCCUUUGGGGGUAGCUCUGCACAUGUGUAUGACCAGUAUUUUAUUUGCUCUUGGGCCAAAUUUGUCAUUAUAGAGCUUAAGAUGCCAGCAUUGCUCUCAGGCUGUCAUUAUUUUAUUAUACCUGAGAUGCCAGCAUUAUCUGCAGGGAACAUAUUAUGAGUGUAUGCGGAUUCUAUUUUUCACAGUUUAUUUUAUGUUGAUGGAAUUAAAUUGUAUUUAUUCAGCUGACUUAUUUUAGCUAAAUAUUUGGUACUAUUAAGUACCUAAACUUAUCUUUUCCCCUUUGUUAUUUAUUUAUCCGCUCACUGAGUAUAUUGUACUCACUCUUAUUUCUUUUAAUAUUUCAGUUCUUUUUUGGUGAUCCGCUCAGCAGUCCUCAUCUCCUAGUUUAUCCUUCCUUCCACAUCGUCCACUCAGAGUUUAGAGGAGGUCGGACCAAUCUUAGGUCUUUUGUUUUUUUUUUUUUUUGUAAUUUUGUUAGAUCAUGUAUAGAUUGUACAGCCCCAAUGAAGAAGGUUUUGUGUUGUUGUAAAUAUAUUAUGGAUUGACAAGUCCAACUAUCAGUUUUUCUCUUUUAUGUUUUAUAAUUUGGGAUUAUAGCAGGUUAUAUGUGUUUAUAUGUAUAAAUAUCAGGGGAAGUUCUGUCAGUUUUUCGGAUCAUAUUAGUCUCUACAGUUUUAAGUUUGGGUGUGACAAGUUUCAUCCUCAAUGAUUCCAGCAAGCACAGCACUAUCACACUUCAAGAACUCCACAAGCUGAAAAUUCACAUCCUAAUAGGAGAAAGAGAAAGAAUUAACCUAUAAAGACAGAAAAUUAGAAACCCGAUAAGCAAUGAUUCCCUUUCGCUCUAGGUUUCUGUAAAAGACGUACAUCACUAUAAUAGGAGAAAGAGAAAGAAUUAUAUAUUUCUUCAUUCAUUUGAAAUUCCUUUCCAGUUGGAAGCCGUUCAGAAACGUGAGAGGUACGUUCAUAAUCCACUGCCCUUCCUCUUAUUGGAUUAUUUUUAAUUAAUACCUUCUCCAUGUUAUAAUUUUUAUUUAUUUUUUAAUUAUCUUAAAAUUAUUAUUUAUAUUUUUUUCACUGUGAUAAUAUAUAAAUCGAUUAUUAUCACGUUAUAAUAAUAUUUCAUAAUUCAUAAUAUCAAAUUAUUAUGUAAUAAACAAUUUUUUUGAAAAGAAUUACAGGAUAAUGAUAUAGUUAGUAAUGAGAUAAUGAUGUGAAUAAUAUAUUUAUUAAAAAAAUAAUUUAUACAUAUUAAUAAAUAAAAAAUUAACCUUUACCAGUAUCAAUUGUAAAGAAGUGAAAAAGAUAAUUCACAUCUACACAAAAAAAAAAGUUGUUUCUGUGUUAAAUUAAAUUAAAUAUAUAUUCCACAUGCUCUUUGGAUAAAUUAUUUUUAUUUUAAAAUUUUGAUACUAUAAUAUCAAUUUUUUUAAUAAGAUUCUAAACUGUAUAUAUUAAAAGGGUUUAAAUUUUUAUUAGUAUUUAAAAUAAUUAUCUCAUUUAAAUUCUACAGAAUGAAUAUUAGCUACAAUUUUAAUAAGUUUGUAUAUUACUAAAGUAGAUAACUUUAAAAAAUAACCUAGUUAUAUACUUAUACUUUAAUUUCAAGUUGAAAUUAUUUUGGAAAAAUGGUAUAUUUUAUGAAUAAAAAGAAUUAUACUCUUAAUAAGAAUAAUAUAUUACUAUAACACUUGGUUAUUAGAGCAAUUUUUUUUAAUUUAAAAAACUUAACUUAUUUAACAAAUAUUUUUAAAAAUAGGUGUAUUUAUAAAAAAAUCUCAACUUUACGAGUUUUCAUAGUCUAAAUUUUUAAUUUUAAAUUAAAAAAUCUCAAUUUUUAAAUUUAUUGUAAUCAUAGUAUUUUUUUAAUUAAUUUUGAUCAUAUUUAAAUUAGCAAAUUAGCUCACAUAGUGUGUCUUUAUUUUUACCAUAUAAAUAAUUUAAUUAAUUUGAAUUAAAUUUUGAUUAAGAUUUUAAACUCUUAAUUAUCUAUAAUACUUAAUUAAAAUUUUUAUUUAAUUAUGAGAGAAUCAUAUAAUUUAGAAAUUUUAUGUAAUUAAGAGUUUAGAAUUUUAAUUAAGGUUUAAUUUUAGUUAAUUAAAUUGUUUAUGUGAUAAUAUAUGUAUGUGUAUGGUUAUACAAGGGGGAAAAAAGACUCCAGCCUGUUAACCAUGUCAUGAUUUUUAAUACAAUAAACUCAUUGAUCCUACAUUCACAACAAGUAAGGCAUUAUUUUCCUUUAUGAUUAAUUUAAUUUAAUUAAUAUAAAUUCAAUUAGGACAAAUAUUUUCAAAGCUUUAUCUUGAUAUACUAAAUGAUUUAAAUGUCAAAGUCAAAGUUUAGAAUAUUUUAAGAUAGGUUUUUUUUAAUAAACAUAUCUAAAAUCGUUUAUCUUCUAUAUUAAAAUUAUUUUUUUAAAUAAUUUCCGUACAUAAUUUAUUCUGAUUUAUUUUAAUAAUUAAAAAUAUAUAUAAUUUAUUUAAUAUAAUAAUAAUAAUGACGACGAUGAUAAUAUAUCUAAAGGAGUGUCACUCCUUAUUAUUGGAUAAACUUAUUUUAUAAUAAUUUUAUUACAUUUAUAUAAUUAUAAGAUCAUACUAAUUCAUUGUGCAAUAUAAAAGACAUGAGAAUUUUUUUGGGAUGACUUUGCAUUAAAUAAAAAAAUAUAUAUAUCUCAUUAAAUUUUGGCGUUUAAAUUCUUGUACUUAUUAGAUAAUUGUCUUUUAAUUAUUUAUAAGAAAAGAAAAUGAGGGGACCGUAAUUAAAAUUGAAGGAGAUGAAUAAUGGAGAUCACAGAUUCUGAGUUUAAGUUUAUAAAUUUAUAUAGAUAUAUGUGGUCGUGUUUAGAAUUCAAAACUCAACAUGAAGAGUCAAGCAUGAUUUUACCUUUCGUGGAUGUUCACAUCAUUUGUUUAAUUUUUAUAUCUAGUUAAGUCCACAGACAUGGAUGUUGUGACUUGUAUCGCUGGAAAAAUUGGAGAACUCUUGGUUGAGCCAAUCGGGAGACAGAUUGGCCAUUUUAUUCACUAUACAAGUAACACUGUGAAACUUCAGGAGCAAGUUAAAAUACUUGAAGGAGUGAGGGAUGACUUGCAGGUAUCUGUUGAUGCAGCAAAGAGGAAUGGUGAGGUGAUCAGAAAAGAGGUUCAGAAUUGGACAUCAAUGGUUGAUGGGAUUCUAUGAGAGGCUAACAAACUUCUUGGAAAGGCUUCCAAAGUAAGGUUUCAUAAUUUGGCUUCACGCUAUCAGAUAAGCAGGAAAGCAGAAGAGAAAACAAUGGAAAUUGAAAAACAGAAAAAUGAAGGCAAGUUUGAUAGAGUUUCCAAUCCUGCACCUCCGCCACCAUUAUUGUUUCCAUCUCAAGAAGAUAUUGUGAUUUUCGACAGCAGAGAACGACAAGUAGAGGAGAUUAUGGAGGCCUCGAAGGACAACAAAACCAACUUCAUUGGGAUAUACGGAAUGGGAGGGGUGGGUAAAACUACCCUGGUGAAACAAGUUGUUAAAAGGGCUCAACAAGACAGACUGUUUCCUACUAUUGCAAUGGUUGUGGUGUCACAAACCAUUGAUGUGAAAAAGAUUCAAGACCAGAUAGCAGAGAGUUUGGGUUUGAAAUUAGAUAAGGUUAACGAACAAAAUCGAGUAAGCCGGUUGCUGGCUAGAUUGAAGGAAGAGAACAAAGUGCUCAUUAUCUUGGAUGAUAUUUGGGCUAGACUCGAUCUUGCAACUGUGGGCAUUCCACUUGGCCAUGAUCAUGGAGGUUGCAAAAUUAUUGUCACAACACGUCGUAAACAAGUGUGUGACACUAUGGUCGACACAAGGAGUGAGACUGCAAAGGUCAUCCCUAUUAAUAUUUUAUCUGAAAAAGAAUCAUGGGUCUUGCUUAAAAAGAAUGCAGGCGCUGAGAUUGAGUCUCUGACUUUGAAUUCUUUUGCAAAAGAUAUUCUCAGAGAAUGUGGAGGCUUGCCUAUCGCUCUUGUAACAGUGGGAAGGGCAAUGAGAGGCAAAGAUCCUGAUGAAUGGCAAGAGGCAGUUAGAGAGCUAAGGAAAUCACAGCCAGAAACCAUUGAAGGGAUGGAUGAAGAUGUGUACAGAUGUCUUCAGUUCAGCUAUACUUACCUGAAAGAUAAGAAAGCCAAGAAAGUUUUCAAUUUAUGUUGUUUAUUUCCUGAGGAUUUUAACAUCCGUAUAGAAGACCUGGUAAGAUAUGGGUUUGGACUGAAAAUAUUUGAAGAUAUGAGAAUGGAGGAUGCAAGACGAAGUGCUCAUUCCAUCAUAAAAAAUCUCAAAGAUUCUUGUUUAUUAUUGGGAAGUGAUGAGGAAGGCUGCGUAAAAAUGCAUGAUGUCGUGCGUGAUGUUGCCUUAUCAAUGGCAUCAGAUUAUUUUGUUAGAGAUGGUGUCAAAAAGUUGGAGGAUUGGCCAGAUAUGGAAGAGAUGAAGCGUUAUACUGGCAUCUCAAUAAUGCAAAAUCAGGUUUCUAAAUUUCCCGAUGCUUGGGAUAGCCCAAAUCUAAAGAUAUUAUUGAUGGAUAUUGAAAAAACUAGUUUAGUUCAUUUUCGGGACAAGGCGAUGGACAUGCGAGCAACGGUCUUAACAGGGAUGAAAGCCCUUCAAGUUUUUCAUCGGAGAGAUAGUAGUAGGAAAGGUUAUAGAGCACUACAUUUUCGGUUCUUGGAACUAGAAUUUAGUCAAUUAACCAAUCUUCGGACGUUGAUGCUUCAGUAUUAUAAGAUUGUUGACACCACUCCAAUUGGGGAGCUGAAGAUGCUUGAAAUUCUCAGCUUGAAGAAUUGUGAGUUCCUAAAGCCAUUCAAUACAAUAGGGAAGUUGACUAAUCUAAGGUUACUGGAUGUGGAAUUUUCUUCUCUUCAUGUCGUCUCUUCUUCCAUAUUUCCAAUCAAUGCUAUGUCUACUCUGUCCCGAUUAGAAGAACUGUACUUCCUUUCUUUUGAUAUGUUAAGACCCACAAAGUACCCAUUUCUCCUUUCUCCAUUCCUUCAUAAUUUUCGAUCCUUCGAUGACUUGAACAUAACAGUUUUGAAAACCCUUUCUCGCUUGACCACCCUUACAACUCACAUUCAAACCAUUCCCGAAGGCUUUAUGUUCCCAGAUUUGAAGGUUUUCAAAAUUCAUUGGGGAAGCCGGAUAUGCAUUAGAGGAAAAGAAAAGCUGAUUAAUGCAUUUUUAUCUCAAGUUGAAGGAUUUAAUUAUUUGGGUCUUUGUGGUGAAUUCGGGGGCGGGAGUAAUAUCACAAUUUCAUCACUAGUUUGUAUGAAGCCAUUAAUGCCAAGAACAAAUUUUCUGUAUUUAGAUUCAGUUGAGGAGUUAAAGAACAUCAAUGCUUGCUCAUUAUUAGGUGGUUUAGAUGCUUUGAAGAUAAUAGUGAUUGUCAAUUGUCCUAGUUUCGCUUACUUGAUCAACGCUGAAGAGUUUCUUGGAAGGUAUGCUUUGUUGCCGGAACUGGAAGGACUGUGUUUUGAGGAUUUGGACACCUUCAAAGCAUUAUGCAAUGGUGAACUACCUUCUGGAACUUCCUUGUCCAUGAGGAAGCUCAAAUACUUGACCUUUUUUAGAUGUCCAGAAUUGUUGAAUAUUUUCACUUUACCCAAUCCACAGCAAGAAUUCGAUCAACUCCAAGUUGUUGAAGAGAAAGGCCCCACUGAGUUGUUGCAUCUGCCCAAGUUACAAAUCGUAUGCAUUAAUGGGUGCCAGAAAUUAAAAGUUAUAUUUCCUGUUUCUAUUGCUCAAGGACUAGAGCAGCUGAAAGAACUUGAAUUAGAAGAUUGUGAUGAAUUAGAAGCAAUUGUUGCAGAAAGGGAAGAAGAAGAAAAGAGGAUUGACAAAGUGGUGUUCUCUCAAUUAAUAAGGAUUAGGUUAUACAAGCUUUACAAUCUUAAAGCUUUUUGCAUGGAUAACUUACCUUUGAAAUGGCCAUCCUUGGAAGAGUUAUCUGUGGACUCUUGCCCUAAAAUGAAGACAUUUGCUGCUUCUAAUGGAAACCAGAUCACACCGAAGUUGAAGGAGAUCAAAAUAAAUACCAAUCACAUAAAGCUUGAAGGAACAAACUUAAACACAAUUAUGAAAUAUCACAAUAAAGAGGAGACAAAGAGGAGGUACGUACCGUUUUAUCAUUUGAAUUGUGUUUAAACCUAUAACACAGUGUUUGACCUUUCAUAUUUGUUUGUAUUUGUGAUUCAUGGAGUUGCAGAUCCAAACUAUGAACAACUGAAGAUGUGUCCAACGUUAGUAGGCAAGGCAAAUAAAAAAGAGAUAUACUGAUUGAAAAUAACUAAGCUGUUUUUGCAUUAAACUUUAAAGAAUUUCUAUUCUUACAUUUUUCUUAUAAUUAUUUUUUAUUUUUAUUUCAGGUGCAAGGUUUUUAAUCCUUACAUCAUUGCAGCAAGGAGGUGGCAAAUGGCAGCAUGGAGUACUUUAUAUUCAUAAGAUGUUCAAUGUUAGGCAUUGUUAUUUAUUACUUGUGAUGUCAAUAUUAUUUUCAUAAGUUUAGCAUAUCUUGCAUAGUAUCAUUAAAAAUGAAUUGACGGAUAAAUAUGUUAUAUUUUUUUAUUUAUUUUUGUGAAUUUCAAAUGUAAAAAUACAAGAGUACAAUAAUAAAUCUUAGCCUCUAUGAUUUUUAUUUAUGUUUUUAUUCACAGCUUUUUUAGAACUCUGAUUUUAUAUUAUGUGUAUAUAAAUAUAUAAAAUAGUAAGCCUUGACGAUAAAAAUCACAUCACAGAAUUUUAAAAUUUCUAAAAUUGUAUUUUUAUGUCAUAAAAAUAUAAAAAAUAAAUUAAAUAGUAAAAUAAUAAAUAAAAUUAAAUAAUAAUAAAAAUAAUAAAUUAAAAAUAAUGAAAGUUGAAAUUAGAGGUAGAAUGGCAUUUCCAUUCCUUUUGGGCUUUCCCAUGGAUUUUAACUUCCAAUUAGAUCUUAAAAAUAAAUGGGUUAGACUUAAGAAGGAAGAGGUGGUAGAAUGGGCUACUCACCUUAGCCAAUUCGGCCCACCCAAAGAAUAAUGUGUGAAUUUUGCAACUUUAGCUUUUAGGGAGACCCUUGGGUGGUUUAAUUAUGGAACAUUUUAAUUAAAAAUCAUUCUAAAAACCCAUAUAACAGCCGACCACAUUAAGAAGAGGAGAGAAUUUACCUAAAAACCCUAACAACCAAUCUUCUUCUCUCAAUAAAUCUUGGCGGCCCCCUUAUUUCCCUAACUCUCAAAUUCUCUUAAUUUUCUCUGAAUAAUUUAUAAGAAACCCUUCACUACUCUUCUUCUUCUCUUUUCCUUUCUAAAGGUAAUCUACUAAAAUAAAUCACAAUCAUAAUAUUAAAAUAUUUAAUUUUAAUAUAAAAGUUGAGAAUAAUACAAAUUAUGUGCCUGAAUCAAUAUGAGCAAUCAAUUCUGUUUAGAUUUUCCAUUUUGAUUGAAAAAAAUUAUGGCUCCCAAAAUAUUUAUUGAAUUGUUUAUGAAAUUCCCUUCCAUUUGCACAUAUUUUUUGCAUUUUUCUUACUUUUCUUGAAUAAAUUAUAGACCUUUAAAAUUAGAAAGAAGAUUUAGAAUUUUGAGUUUAAAAUCAAUUUUAAAAAAUAUACUAUAAAUUUUAUGUUUUGAGUCAUAGUGUCCUAUGAUUUAAAAUAUUGGUAAACAGAUUUUAAUAUGUAUUGUGAUAAACUUAAUGCAAUGGUAAUAUUUCAAAAAAUACAAAAAAAAUUUUGUUAUUUUCUUUUUUUCUCAUAUAUUUUAUGAUAUUCUUAUAAAAUUUCAUAUUUUUCUUAGCAUAUUUACUAUUUUUCCUCAAAUUUUAUAUUUUAAUGUUAUUGAAGAUUUUUCGAUAGGUCUAAUUUUAAUAUUUUUAUAUAACUGAUUAUUUUGUUAUUUUUUUUUUAUAUUUUGAUCUAUAAAAGACGUGGCCUCUUCAAGUUCAGCCUAAACUUAAAGUUUUUAUUUAGUAUUUACUUCAUAAUGCAGUUCUUGUAAUGCAUAAUUUAGUUUUACGUGGUAUUCAAACUUCUCCUAUGUGUCCAUUUUAUUUUACACAUGUUGAAACGUUGAUACAUGCUCUUUUUUUUAUCCUCAUGCUAGAGCUAUCUGAUUUUAGAGCCAUUAUACCUAUAAACCUGCACUUGUCGAUUUUUUGAGUUUUCCUAUUUGGUCUGCGAUCAAUUUAGGAUAAAGUCAGAUUGUGAUGCUGUUAUGCAACUUUAUUCUCUUACUUUGUGGCAUAUAUAGAAAGGCACAGAAUAAGGGAAUUUUUGAAUCUAUACUUCUAGAUCCUUUAACUACUUCAUCUUGCAUUAAUCUUAGCAUUAUGGAGUUUAGACAAUUUGAAAUUUUUGUUACUUUUUCAUUGUGCAGUUCUUCGCAUCAAUUUCGAAAUGAGAUUUGGUUACCUCCUCUUCAUGAGACUUUAAAAUAUAACACUGAUGUUGUUUGGAAAAGUCAAUUUUCUCUGACUGCUAUUUCUAUUGUAGUUCGCAAUAGUAAUAGUAUUUUAGUAGAUAGAGUAGCUAAAUGUAUUUGGAGUUAUUCUCCAUUAGCCGUGGAGGCUCGUGCAGUCCUUGAAACUUUUUUGUUAGGUUUAACUCGACAUUCUUGAUCAAUUAUUUAUAUCAUGGACUCAGAGAUCUUGUUUGCAGUGUUAACUAAUAUAACUUCCUUGUCACCUUUUAAUAUUGUGGCUACUAUUGCAACUAUUUGGUCUUUGUACUCUGUUAGGUGAUUUGUCUUCUGAAAUUAUACAUCAAAAGAGUAAUAGAGUUGCCGAAAUAGUUGCUAAAUUUUUUUUAAAAAACAUUGUCGUCUGGUUGAAUUGUAGCUAGCUCUCUAAAACUAGUCUCAUUUUUAUAAAUCUUAUUGCGUUUGUAGCUAUACAAUGCAUUACCAUGCAAAUAAAGAAAAAAAAAAUGAAAGCAGACAACUGUCGAAAUUUUUUUACUUCUUUUCUGUUGUUUUGGAUUUAAUUUCCUUUUGUUUUAAAUUUGAAUUAAUAGUUUAAUUGCUAUAAAUCUCUUUGUUCUAAUCAAUUCUUACUUUAUUUAAUUUAUUCUUGUCAUAUUUUAAUUCUUUGUAUGAUCUUAUUUGAAUGAUUUCUUUCCUUAUUUGAAUUAUUUUUUUCCACAUUUAUUUGAAUUAUAUCUUUACUUAUAUGAAUUAUUUUCUUUCCUUAAGAGGGUAUGGUAGAAGCCGAAUCAUAUACGAAGGUCUAUUAUAUAUUUUAAAAAUCCUUUACAAAGGAUGAUGGCCUAAAACCUUAUAAUAAUUUGAAUGUUAGUUAAUUUUUUUAGUUAAAUAAUAUUUAUUUUGGAUUUGUAAAUUUUUUUCUCCACUUUUUCUACCAUUAGCAUUAAUUCUUUUUUACACUCUAUUUCUUUAGCCCAGGAUUUUAUUGAUUCUAAUUAAUUAUUUUUUCCUUCUUUUUUUUUUUUAUGUUUUAAUUGAUGUACUUUACUUGAAAAUACAUGAAAUAAAAUUAGUAAAUGUAACGGUCAGCUGCCUGCUUGGCGGAAUUGCGGCGUUGACUGUCCAAAUCGGAAGAUGAUAAGGAAUUGAAAUUGAAUAUAAUAACUAGCACGAAACUACUAAAUAACUUGGGUUAACUAUUUUGGGCCAAGUGGAAAGUGGGUCCAAAAGUUAUAUGGGCCAGUUCGGGCCCGGCUGUUUCAAUUGGUAUCAGAGCCACCCUGGGUCAGAAAAAUUGUGCGGAGCUAGUGGGCCUGCGAGGAAAGGGCUACCCGUGAGAGACGAGGUGGAGCCGCCCGAGGUACUAGUGAACCACAAUACCUAAGGGUCCGGUCCUGGUUAGCAAUUGUAAUGGAUUCAGUUGCGACGAGGACGUCGCAAAAUUUAGCGGGACCGAGUGUAACGGUCAGCUGCUUGCUUGGCGGAAUUGCGGCGCUAACUGUCCCACAUCGGAAGAUGAUAAGGAAUUGAAAUUGAAUAUAAUAGCUAGCACGAAACUACUAAAUAACUUGGGUUAACCAUUUUGGGUUAAGUGGAAAGUGGGUCCAAAAGUUAUUUGGGCCAGUUCGGGCCCGGCUGUUUCAGUAAACUAAGUAACUCACUUGAUAAAUUCUAAAAAGCAAUUGUAUAUGAUAGAGACAUUAUUUUGCAUGCUUAGGGGUGAUCUACAUUUUGACAUGAAAAUAAUUAAUUAAUAAUGACCUUAAGGUAAAAUAACCAUAAAUUUGGGUUGAAAUACAUGCUUAGAAACCUAGUAAACCUUUUUUGCUAUGUGUACCAAAUAUAAAAUUUAGAAACUAUGCAUAUUUAAAUCUCUACUUUGGUGUAAAUUGAACCAUGACAUAAAGUGAGCAAAGAAACAUGACUAACUGGAGCAACUUGAUAAUUCCUCCAUCUAGAAAUUUUAAAUGUUUAGACUAAUAGAUAUGCAUGAAAUGGAUAUUUUGUAUAAUCAAUGUGUAUGUAAUAAGUAGAUUCCAUAUGUCUAAAAAGGAUUUCCCAAUAAAUGUAAUAAGACAUGAUAUAAGAAUUAGUGGAGGCAAUCUCUUAGAGCAAUUUGCUCAAUUAGGUCCUUUUGUUUGCCUCUGCUUUCAUCAGGGUGGCGACUCCUUUACUCUCCUUUUCACCGGUGCUAAAACAUCUAAAUCUCAUGGUGUCAUGAUGGAAAAGCGAGACCCUAACUACUAAUUAUAGAGAAUUUAUGAAUCCACAAGCUUCUUUUGGUCUUCUUUCUCUAUUAUUUCUUAUAGCUAUAUAAGGUCUCGGCCCAGGCCUAUUAAUUUUAAUAAAAAAAAAUGAAAAUGAGCAUUAAAGCUCUGGUUUCGGGAAUGUCCCGAAACAUUCCCGAAACCAAAGAACCCUUCUUCCUCGCGAGAAAAAAAAAGAGAGAACAGAGCUUUUGCUCUAUUAUUUUUUAAAAAAAAAAUUCCUCUUUUAAACCCAAAUCCACUCCCCUCAACCCAUAGACUUCUAACAUCAUUCAGCUAGAUCCUGAUUAAACCUAUAUCCUGCUAAGAAAUUCAAUAAUUCCUUCUAGAAGAUCCAAAAUUGGGUAGUGAGUUUUGUCCCUUUUAUUCAAAUUUUUACGAUAUAAUUUAUUUUCUCUACCUUUUAAUAGUGAUUUUUGUGUUUUGAGGAUAAAAAUGGGAUAUGUUUUAGUUAGAUCCAAUCAAUGGGGUUUUAUAUUUCUUUUUGGAUUAAUGAUUUUCUUAGGUUGAUUUAAAUAAUAUUUACAGCUUAUUGAGUAUUUUUGUUGAGUUUGGGUAUUUGUGGGAGGCCUAGCUAUGCCGAAAUACUGCCCAAAUUUUCUUAAAAAUAUAUAUAUAAAUAUUUUAAAAUUUCAUAUUUUACGUUUUAUAUUAUUGUUCUAGAGCAUUUUUAUUAUUUGAUAUAUUAUUUUAUUUUCUUUUUAAUUCUAGGAGAGGAUCCAGCUUCCAGGAUAGAUAAUAGGGGUCCUCCUGCGACCUAGGUCUUUUGUCCUAAGUAUUCUGGUGAGUGGAUAAAUAUAUAACAUUGAUAUUUUUCCUAAAUAUAUUUAUAUGUAUAUAUUUACUUUGUUUAUUUAAAAUGGAAAAUGAUAAAGUUAAUUUAUAUUUAUUGAAUAAAUGAAAAUUUAAUUUAAAGCACAGCUGAAUAAAUAGCCGAUUAAACUCUGUAUAUGCACCGAACAGAUAACACCUUGAUGACAGGUGAUUUAUUUUCAGCAUGAUAUAUAUUUAUACUGUCUUUGGGACAGCGCUUGAUAUACAGACAGACUUUGGGGCGUAUGUCAGGUGGUCACCCUUUGGGGUAGCUCUGCACAUGUGUAUGACCAUUAUUUUAUUUGCUCUUGGGCCAAAUUUGUCAUUAUAGAGCCUAAGAUGCCAGCAUUGCUCUCAGGCUGUUAUUAUUUUAUUAUACCUGAGAUGCCAGCAUUAUCUGCAGGGAACAUAUUAUGAGUGUAUGCGGAUUCUAUUUUUCACAGUUUAUUUUAUGUUGAUGAAAUUAAAUUGUAUUUAUUCAGCUGACUUAUUUUAGCUAAAUAUUUGGUACUAUUAAGUACCUAAACUUAUCUUUUCCCCUUUGUUAUUUAUUUAUCCGCUCACUCAGUAUAUUGUACUCACUCUUAUUUCUUUUAAUAUUUCAGUUUCUUUUUGGUGAUCCGCUCAGCAGUCCUCAUUUCCUAGUUUGUCCUUCCUUCCACAUCGUCCACUCAGAGUCUAGAGGAGGUCGGACCAAUCCUAAGUCUUGUCUUUUCUUUUUGUACUUUUGAUAGAUCAUGUAUAGAUUGUACAGUCCAGUGGAAAAGGUAUUUUGUUGAUUGUAAAUAUUUUAUGGAUUGACUAGUCCAGCUAUUAGUUUUCUCUUAUAUGCUUAAUAUUUGGAGUUAUAGCAGGUUACAUGUUUUUAUAUGUAUAAAUAUUAGGGGAAGUUCUAUCAGUUUUCCGGGUCAUAUCAGUCUCUACAGUUUGGGGAUUGGGUGUGACAAGCUAUGCCAUGAAAAAAUUUUUUACAAUAUAAUAAUUAUAUAUACAUUAGUUUUACUGUAAUAAUUAAUCAAUCAUGGUGAGUUAUUAUGAUCAAUGUUUAACAUCUAACCAUUUUACAUAUAACGGUUGUAUUGAAGAUGGUUUUAAUAUUCUUAUUNNNNNNNNNNNNNNNNNNNNNNNNNNNNNNNNNNNNNNNNNNNNNNNNNNNNNNNNNNNNNNNNNNNNNNNNNNNNNNNNNNNNNNNNNNNNNNNNNNNNNNNNNNNNNNNNNNNNNNNNNNNNNNNNNNNNNNNNNNNNNNNNNNNNNNNNNNNNNNNNNNNNNNNNNNNNNNNNNNNNNNNNNNNNNNNNNNNNNNNNNNNNNNNNNNNNNNNNNNNNNNNNNNNNNNNNNNNNNNNNNNNNNNNNNNNNNNNNNNNNNNNNNNNNNNNNNNNNNNNNNNNNNNNNNNNNNNNNNNNNNNNNNNNNNNNNNNNNNNNNNNNNNNNNNNNNNNNNNNNNNNNNNNNNNNNNNNNNNNNNNNNNNNNNNNNNNNNNNNNNNNNNNNNNNNNNNNNNNNNNNNNNNNNNNNNNNNNNNNNNNNNNNNNNNNNNNNNNNNNNNNNNNNNNNNNNNNNNNNNNNNNNNNNNNNNNNNNNNNNNNNNNNNNNNNNNNNNNNNNNNNNNNNNNNNNNNNNNNNNNNNNNNNNNNNNNNNNNNNNNNNNNNNNNNNNNNUUUUAAAGUUUUAAUUUAUUUUUCUCUAAUUAAUAAAAAUUUUCUAUAAAUAAAAAAAUUUAAAUAUCUCAAAUAUAAAAUAUGAAGUAUUAUUCCUUAUUUGUAAUAAAAGGGGUUUGAUAAUGCCUAUAUCGAAAAUAUUUAAUAAUUAAUAUAGAAAAUGUAUUUUUUUUCUUUGUUUAAAUUAGUGAUAGAAUUUUAUUGUCUAAAAAAAUAAUAAUUUUUCAUUAAUAAUAAAAUAAAAAAAACUUUUAUUUACAUCAAAUUACUUUUGCAAUUAAAUGAUUGCUUUCAAGAGAUUGAAAUUAUUUAUAAAAUUCAACCAUUAACUCUGAGAAUUUUCAUUAAUUUUUACUUUUAUUUUUAUUAGAUAUCUUAUCAUUUAUUUUGAAAAUUGUUUAAGGUUUAUAUUAAUUUUUUUUAUAUUAUACUAUUAUCUAGUUAAUUACGUACCUUUAUAAAUUAAAAAUAUAGUUUAAAAAAUCUUAAUCAACUGAUUAAUAAUUAACUUUUAAUUAUAGUUAAGAUUAAAUUUUUAAAAUUCUUGUUUUAUAUAAUGAGAUUUUUUUUUUCUUUUAACGCAAAAUUUAAAUUUUUUUCAUUUAGUGCAAAAUUCAAAUUCAAGUAAUCAUAUUAAAUAGCAAAUAUAUUAUAUAUUUUGAUCAUUAAAUUUAAUAAUAAGAGUUUAUUAAAAAUAAAUUAAUUCUAUUAAUAAAUUAUUAUCAGUUAAUUAAAUAUAAAAGAUUUAGAAAAAGAAAGAAAAAAUAAAUAAAGGGAUUGACAAUCUGAAAACAUCUAUAAUAAAUUAAAGUAAUUUCUUCUAAAAUAAAAUUAAAAUUAAAUAAUUUUAUUAAAAUAAAUUAAAGUGAGUGAUAAAAAUAAAACAUAACUCAAAAAUUGAGUGAUUCUAACUAAAAAAAUUUAUAUAGAUAUAUGUGGUCGUGUUUAGAAUUUAUGAAGAGUCAAGCAUGAUUUUACCUUUCGUAGAUAUUCACAUCACUUGUUUAAUUUUUAUACCUAGUUAAGUCCACAGACAUGGAUGUUGUGACUUUGGUUGAGCCAAUCGGGAGACAGAUUGGCCAUUUUAUUCACUAUAGAAGUAACACUGUGAAACUCCAGGAGCAAGUUAAAAUACUUGAAGGGGUGAGGGAUGACUUGCAGGUAUCUGUUGAUGCAGCAAAGAGGAAUGGUGAGGUGAUCAGAAAAGAGGUUCAGAAUUGGACAUCAAUGGUUGAUGGGAUUCUAUCAGAGGCUAACAAACUUCUUGAAAAGGCUUCCAAAGUAAGGUUUCAUAAUUUGGCUACACGCUAUCAGCUAAGCAGGAAAGCACAAGAGAAAACAAUGGAAAUUGAAAAACAGAAAAAUGAAGGCAAGUUUGAUAGAGUUUCCAAUCCUGCACCUCCGCCACCAUUAUUGUUUCCAUCUCAAGAAGAUAUUGUGAUUUUCGAAAGCAGAGAACGACAAGUAGAGGAGAUUAUGGAGGCCUUGAAGGACAACAAAACCAACUUCAUUGGGAUAUACGGAAUGGGAGGGGUGGGUAAAACUACCCUGGUGAAACAAGUUGUUAAAAGGGCUCAACAAGACAGGCUGUUUCCUACUAUUGCAAUGGUUGUGGUGUCACAAACCAUUGAAGUGAAAAAGAUUCAAGACCAGAUAGCAGAGAGGUUGGGUUUGAAAUUAGAUGAGGCUAACGAACAAAAUCGAGUAAGCCGGUUGCUGGCUAGAUUGAAGGAAGAGAACAAAGUGCUCAUUAUCUUGGAUGAUAUUUGGGCUAGACUCGAUCUUGCAACUGUGGGCAUUCCACUUGGCCGUGAUCAUGCAAGUUGCAAAAUUAUUGUCACAACACGUCGUAAACAAGUGUGUGACGCUAUGGUCGACACAAGGAGUGAGACUGCAAAAGUCAUCCCUAUUAAUAUUUUAUCUGAAAACGAAUCAUGGGUCUUGCUUAAAAAGAAUGCAGGCGCUCAGAUUGAGUCUCCGACUUUGAAUUCCUUUGCAAAAGAUAUUCUCAGAGAAUGUGGAGGCUUGCCUAUAGCUCUUGUGACAGUGGGAAGGGCAAUGAGAGGCAAAGAUCCUGAUGAAUGGCAAGAGGCAGUUAGAGAGCUAAGGAAAUCACAGCCAGAAACCAUUGAAGGGAUGGAUGAAGAUGUGUACAGAUGUCUUCAGUUCAGCUAUACUUACCUGAAAGAUAAGAAAGCCAUGAAAGUUUUCAAGUUAUGUUGUUUAUUUCCUGAGGAUUUUAACAUCCGUAUAGAAGACCUGGUAAGAUAUGGGUUUGGACUGAAAAUAUUUGAAGAUAUGAGAAUGGAGGAUGCAAGACGAAGUGCUCAUUCCAUCAUAAAAAAUCUCAAAGAUUCUUGUUUAUUAUUGGGAAGUGAUGAGGAAGGCUGCGUAAAAAUGCAUGAUGUCGUGCGUGAUGUUGCCUUAUCAAUGGCGUCAGAUUAUUUUGUUAGAGAUGGUGUCAAAAUGUUGGAGGAUUGGCCGGAUAAGGAAGAGAUGAAGCGUUAUACUGGCAUCUCAAUAAUGCAAAAUCAGGUUUCUAAAUUUCCCGAUGCUUGGGAUAGCCCAAAUCUAAAGAUAUUAUUGAUGGAUAUUGAAAAAACUCGUUUAGUUCAUUUGUGGGAGAAGGCGAUGCACAUGCCAGCAACGGUCUUGAGAGGGAUGAAAGCCCUUCAAGUUUUUCAUCGGAGAGAUAGUAGUAGGGAAAGUACUAUGUCAAUAUCUUUUCGGUUCUUGGAACUAGAAUUUAGUCAAUUAACCAAUCUUCGGACGUUGAUGCUUCAGUAUUAUAAGAUUGUUGACACCACUCCAAUUGGGAAGCUGAAGAUGCUUGAAAUUCUCAGCUUGAAGAAUUGUGAGUUCCGAAAGCCAUUCAGUACAAUAGGGAAGUUGACUAAUCUAAGGUUACUGGAUGUGGAAUUUUCUUCUCUUGAUGGCGUCUUUUCUUCCAUAUUUCCAAUCAAUGCUAUGUCUACUCUGUCCCGAUUAGAAGAAUUGUACUUCCUUUCUUUUGAUAUGUUAAGACCCACACAGUUCCCAUUUUCCGUUUCUACAUCCCUUACUAAUUUUGUAUCCUUCGAUGACUUGAACAUAACAGUUUUGAAAACCCUUUCUCGCUUGACCACCCUUACAAUUGACAUUCAAACCAUUCCCGAAGGCUUUAUGUUCCCAGAGUUGAAGGUUUUCAAAAUUCGUUGGGGAAGCCGGAGACGCCUUAGAGUAAAAGAAAAGCUGAUUAAUGCAUUUUUAUCUCAAGUUGAAGGAUUUAAUUAUUUGGGUCUUUGUGGUGAAUUCGAGGGCGGGAGUAAUAUCACAAUUUCAUCACUAGUUUGUAUGAAGCCAUUAAUGCCAAGAACAAAUUUUCUGUAUUUAGAUUCACUUGAAGAGUUUAAGAAUAUCAAUCCUUGCUUAUUAUUAGGUGAUUUAGAUGCUUUGAAGAUACUAGUGAUUGUCAAUUGUCCUAGUUUCGCUUACUUGAUCAACGCUGAAGAGUUUCUUGGAAGGUAUGCUUUGUUGCCGGAACUGGAAGGACUGUGUUUUGAGGAUUUGGACACCUUCAAAGCAUUAUGCAAUGGUGAACUACCUUCUGGAACUUCCUUGUCCAUGAGGAAGCUCAAAUACUUGACCUUUUUUAGAUGUCCAGAAUUGUUGAAUAUUUUCACUUUACCCAAUCCACAGCAAGAAUUCGAGCAACUCCAAGUUGUUGAAGAGAAAGGAAUGAAGAACAUAUCGAAGGGCCCCACUGAGUUGUUGCAUCUGCCCAAGCUACAAAUCGUAUGCAUUAAUGGGUGCCAGAAAUUAAAAGUUAUAUUUCCUGCUUCUAUUGCUCGAGGACUAGAGCAGCUGAAAGAACUUGAAUUAGAAGACUGUGAUCAAUUAGAAGCAAUUGUUGCAGAAAGGGAAGAAGAGGAAAAGAGGAUUGACAAAGUGGUGUUCUCUCAAUUAAUAAGCAUUAGGUUAUACAAGCUUUACAAUAUUAAAGCUUUUUGCAUGGAUAACUUACCUUUGAAAUGGCCAUCCUUGGAAGAGUUAUCUGUGGAUUCUUGCCCUAAAAUGAAGACAUUCGCUGCUUCUGAUGGAAACCAGAUCAAACCGAAGUUGAAGGAAAUCAAAAUAAAUACCAAUUACAUAAAGUUUGAUGGAACAAACUUAAAUACAAUUAUGAAAUAUCACAACAAAGAGGAGGUACGUACCGUUUUAUCAUUUUAAUUGUGUUUAAACCUAUAACAAAGCGUUUGACCUUCCAUGUUGUUUGUAUUUGUGAUUCAUGGAGUUGCAGAUUCAAGCGAUGAACAAUUGAAGAUGUGUCCAAUGUUAAAAGGCAAAAUAAAUAAAAAAGAGAUAUACUGAUUGAAAAUGACUAUAAACUUCACUGCAAUUCUGAAAAAUUUUUAUUCUUAUAAAUUUUUUAUUUUUAUUUCAGGUGCAAGGUUUUUAAUCCUUAUAUCAUUGCAGCCAGGAGUGGAAAAUGGCAGCAUGGAGUAGUUUAUGAAUUUGUUUAAUGUUAGGCAUUAUUUAUUAUUUGUGAUAUCAAUAUUAUUUUAAUAAGUUUAGCAUGCCAUAUUUAAUAUCAUUAAAAAUAAAUGGACUGAUAAAUAUAUUAUGUUUCUUAUUAUUAUUUAUGAAUUUUAAAUGUAAAAUUAAAAUACUAUAAUAAUAAAUUUUAUCCUCUAUAAUUUUUAUAAAUAUCUAAUUUUAUAUUAUGUGUAUAUCAAUAUAUAAAAUAGUGAGAAUUCGUCCAUAAAAAUUUAAUCACAGUUCAGAUGCAUUUGAAAUUAAUUUUAAAAAUUUUUUAAAAAAUAUUUUUAUGCCAUAAAAAAUAAUAAAAAAUAAAUUAAAUUAAAUAGUAAAAAAUAAAUAAAAUUAAAUAAUAAUAAAAAAAUGAAAAUUGAAAUUAGAGGUAAAAUGACAUUUUUCCUUCCUUUUAGGCUUUCCCAUGGAUUUUAACUUCCAAUUAGAUCUUAAAAAAAAAAGUGGGUUAGACUUAAAAAGGAAGAGGUGGUAGAAUGAGCUACUCACCUUAGCCAAUUCGGCCCACCCAAAGAAAUAAUGUGUGAAUUUUGCUUUUAGGGAGACCCUUGGGUGGUUUAAUUAUGGAACAUUUUAAUUAAAAAUCAGUCUAAAAACCCAUACAACAGCCGACCACAUUAAAAAGAGGUGAGAAUUUACCUAAAAACCCUAACAACCAAUCUUCUUCUCUCAAUUAAUCACAGUUCAGAUGCAUUUGAAUUUGUUUAAUACCUUUCUUAUUAUUUUUAAUGUAAAAUCUGAAAAUAAUACAAAUUAUGUGCAUGAAUCAAUAUGAGCAAUCAAUUCUGUUUAGAUUUUUCAUUUUGAUCGAAAUAAAAUUAUGGCUCCGAAUCAAUUUUCAUAUAUUUUUUGCAUUUUUCUGAUAUUUUUUGAAUAAAUUAUAGACUUUUAAAAUUAUAAAGAAAAUUUAAAAUUUUAAGUUUAAAAUCAAUUUUGAGAAAUAUAUUAUAAAUUUUAGAUUCUGAGUUUCUCACGUAAUAUAGUGUCAUAUCAUUUAAAAUAUUGGUAAACAGAUUUUAAUAUGUAUUGUGAUAAACUUAAUGCAAUGGUAAUAUCUCAAAAAACAUAAUUUUUUUAUUAUUUACUUUUUUUUAUAUAUUUUAUGAUAUUUUUAUAAAAUUUCAUAAUUUUUUUUAACAUAUUUACUCUUUUUCUUUAAAUUUUAUUUUUGGUGUCAUGUGAGAUUUUUCAAUAGGUCUAAUUUUGAUAUUUUUGUGUGAUUAGAUAUUUUUUUUUAUAUAUUUUGAUCUAUAAUUAUAUAUUAUUAACAUAAAUUUAAGUAUUAUAACGGGCUGUAAAUAAAGGUUAGGGUUCCUCUUUUAGUGCUUGCAUAGGCUGAAUAGGUCUUCCACAAUUGGGAAAAAUUUUUACUUUCUGUUGUUUUGGAUUUAAUUUCCUUUUGUUUCAAAUUUGAAUUAAUAGUUUAAUUGCUGUAACUCUCUUUGUUCUAAUCAGUUCAUGCUUUAUUUAAUUUAUUUUUGUCAUAUUUUAAUUAUUUGUAUGAUCUUAUUUGAAUGACUUUUUAGCAGCUUGUGGAUUUACUGCCGCUGUUUUGUCCCUAUCGAUAGAUUCGAAAAAAAUUGAUUUAUAUAUAAUAGCUAUCAUGAAAUUACUAAAUAAUUUAGAUUAAUUAUUUUGAGUCAAGUGAAAAGUGGGUUCAAAAAUUAUUUAGACCAGUUUAGACCGAACUAUUUUCGAUUGGUAUCAGAGCCACCUUGAAUCAGAUAAAUUAUGUGGAGCCGGCAGCUGUUCUGUCCCAGAUCGAUGAAACUAUUAAAUAACUUAAGUUAACCAUUUUAGAUCAAGUAAAAAGUGGGUUCAAAAGUUAUUUGAGCAUUUUAACCGAGCUUUCAAAAGUUAUUUGAGUCAAUUUGAGCCUAACUGUUUCAAUUUAUCAGUCUUCUCCCAAAUAUCUCUCUUAUUUUUCAAAAUUUAUAAUAUAGUGGUAUAAUUAUCUUUCCUUAUUUUUAUAUUUUAAUAGAUUAUUAAUUAAAAUUAUAAAAAGUAUUAUCAUAUAACUUAUAAUAAAAUCAGAUGUAAAGUGAAAAAAAUGUUACCAGAAUAUUUAUAUAAAAAUAAGAUACAGAAUAUCAACGUGAAUAAAAAUUAUCAUAUCUUAAUAUAUAAAAGAAUAUUAAAAAUUUAUUCAUUAAAAUAAAUCAUUUUUCAUUAAUUGCAAUUAAUUUAGUAAUAUUAAAUUCUUCUCUCAAAUUUAAAUCCCAUAGACAAAUGAAAAAAAUUGCUAUAACUCUCUUUGUUCUAAUCAGUUCAUGCUUUAUUUAAUUGCUAUAACUCUCAAAUUUAAUAUUAAUUUAGUAAUAUUAAAUUUUUUACUUCCUUUCUGUUGUUUUGGAUUUUUUUUUUUUUUUUGAAAUAGGGAGUGGGGGAGUCGAACCUUUGACCUCACAAGGUUACAAGGAUGCACUUUCCGCCAGGCUAAGCCUCGGAGUGCGUUGUUUUGGAUUUAAUUUCCUUUUGUUUUAAAUUUGAAUUAAUAGUUUAAUUGCUAUAACUCUCUUUGUUCUAAUCAGUUCAUGCUUUAUUUAAUUUAUUUUUAUCAUAUUUUAAUUAUUUAUAUGAUCUUACUUGAUUUCUUUUCUUAUUUUAAUUAUUUGUGUAACGGUCAACCACUUACUUGCGAAUUUGCGGUCGCUGUUUCAUUCCACAAUCGGUAAAUUUAAAAAAAAAAUAAUUUAUAUAUAAUAACUAAUACGAAAUUACUAAAUAACUUGGAUUAAUCAUUUUAGGUCAAGUGAAAAAUGAGUUUAAAAAUUAUUUAGAUCAGUUUGAACCGGGUUGUUUUCAAUUGGUAUUAGAACCAUCUUGGAUCAGAUAAAUUAUGCGGAACUAGUGGACCUGCGAAAAAAGAAAUACCUGUGAGAGACGAGGUGGAGCUGCCCGAAGUACUAGUGAACCACAAUAACCAAGGGUCCGGUCCUGAUUAGCAAUUGUAACGGAUUCAGUUGCGACAAAAAACGUUACAAAUUUAGCGGGACCGAAUGUAACUGUUAGCUGCCUGCUUGCAGAUUCACAACAGUUGGUUCACCCUACAUCGAUAGAUUUAAAGAAAAUUGAUUUAUAUAUAAUAGCGAGCACGAAAUUAUUAAAUAAUUUAGAUUAACCAUUUUAAAUCAAAUAGAAAAUGGAUCUAAAAGUUAUUUGACCCAAUUUGAACCAGAUUAUUUCAAUUUGUAAAUCUUUUCCCAGAUUUCUCUCUUGUUUUUCAAAAUUUAUAAUAUAGUGGUAUAAUUAUCUUGCCUCAUUUUUAUAUUUUAAUAGAUUAUUAAUUAAAAUUAUAAAAAGUAUUAUCAUAUAACUUAUAAUAAAAAUAAAAAUUAUAUAAAAAUAAGAUAUAAAGUGAAAAAAAAAAUAUUAGCAGAAUAUUUAUAUAAAAAUAAGAUACAGAAUACCAACAUGAAUAAAAAUUAUCAUAUCUUGAUAUAUAAAAGAAUAUUAAAAAUUUAUUCAUUAAAAUAAAUCAUUUUUCAUUAAUCCAAUUAAUUUAGUAAUAUUAAACUCUUCUCUCAAAUUUAAAUCCCAUAGACAAAUGAAAAAAAUUUGAAACAAUAAAAAUACCAAUUAUGUCUUCCAAAUCAUAACGUAUUGAUACUUCAAAUUAUAAAAUAUAAUAAUUAAGUUUUAUUUAUUUUAUAAAAAAUAGUUUUUAAAAAACAUUUUUUUAUAUUUUUUAAUAUUCAAAGUAUUUAAAAAAUUUAAUAAAAAAUUAUUUUACAGAUAAAAUAAUAAAUCAUUUAAAAAAAUAACUUUUUUUAAAAAAUCAUUUUCCAUUUUCAUACCUUUAUUAAUAUCUUUAUAUAUAAAUUUACUAAUAAAUUUUAUUUUUUAAAUUAAAAUUAAAUAAUAAAAAAUAAUUUUCGUACGAAUAAUACUUUUCACAUAAAAUAUUUUUCAAAUACCUAUAAUCCGAAAUAUUAAGACUAUGUUUAUUUUACAGAAAAAUAUAUUUUAUAUUUUCUGAUGUUUGGAUAUUUAAAAAUUUUAAUUAAUAAAAAAUAUCUUUUAAUAAAAAAAUAAGCUAUGUUAAAAAAAUAUUUUCUACAAAAAUCAUUUUAUAUGAAUAAUAUUUUUUAUAAAAUAUAUUUUUUAAAUACAAGUUAUUUUACAUAAAUAAAGGAAGACUAAAAGUAAAUUUUUCUAUUUAAUCUAUAAUUCAAAAUAUUAAGAUUUUAUUUAUUUUCUGAAAAAUAUUUUUUUAAAAAUAUAUUUUUAUAUUUUUUAGUAGUUGAGUGUUUAAAAAAUCAAUAAAAAAUAUUUUUUAAUUAAAAGAAAAAUUAAAUCACUUUAAGAAAAUAAUUUCUUCUUUAAAAAAAUAAAGUUAUUUUUUUAUUUUAUUUUUAUUAAAAUUUAUAUAUAUAAAUUUAUUAAUAAGUUUUAUUUUUUUAAAUCAAAAUUAAGUAAGAUAAAAUAAGUUAUUUUAUUAUUUUUCUUUAUGAAAAAACAGUUUUUUUAUAAAAUAUUUUUUAAAUACAAAUUAUUUUUAAAAAUAAACAUAACUAUUUUUUUUUUAAUGAACAACUAAAAUAACAUUAUAAUUUAUACCUAAUAGAUUCUCUAGCCAAAAUAUAACCAGCUAAAAAAUAACAUUACGAUUUUUGCCAAACAAGGAGAAUUGCCUAUUAUGUGCCGUCAAAUUUGUAUUUUCAAAAUUGCUAAUUGAUGCCAAAAUUGCUAAUUGAUGCCAAUUCUGCCACAAAUCCCGGCGGAGCAGAAUUACCGGAAUCACAUGAGGAAAUCACUCCAACCAAACUUGAUAUCUUUUUUUUUUUUUUAAAUUCAGUUGCAAGUUACAAAAAAUCUCCACAUGACCCAAUUUCCCAAAUAAAUAGCAAAAAAUAGUCAGUUUUUUAUAUUGAAACUUUACAGUAAACACAAUAUUAUCAUCUCUAACAAACUUCUCCCGCCGUUUAAAGGUUGCCGAAAGUUCAAACACACUUUAACUCUCGUAGAGUCUGGCGAUAUAGCUAAAAUAUUUUUCAUAUCAUACUCUUUAUAGUGGCCAACAAAAUUCCCGACCAAUUUUGUCAACGUCUCGUUAUAAUAACUAGAAGGGAGAUCUUUAAUCAGAAUCCAAAAAAUCAGAAUGAGUUAGAGGGAUAUGGAGAGAAUUUUCAUUACCUUGUAUCUCAUUCCAAACAAGCAGAAUCGAUUGUACAACCAAUAGCCCUUAUUCCCUAUAUUUUCAAAAUCAACAUUAUUAAAAAAUCGAAAUAGAUAUUUUUUACCUCUAAUUCCAUAAUUGAUAUUCUCUCUAAAGGAUGUCAUAAAUCGAGAUCUGCAUAUUCUGAAAAUUGAUUGGAUUGUAUGAGAUAAAUAUCUCCAUUAUACAGAAAUCAUAAGUGACGAUAAGAAUAUCUCUAGAGUUUCUUCUUCAUCGAUACUCAAUUGACACAAAUCGUUCCACUUGACCUAAAAUGGUUAACCCAAGUUAUUUAGUAGUUUCGUGCUAACUACCGUUACACUCGGUCCCGUUAAAUUUGCGACGUCCUCGUCGCAACUGAAUCGGUUACAAUUGCUAACCAGAACCAGACCCUUAGGUAUUGUGGUUCGCUAGUACUUUGGGUGGUUUCGUCUCUCACGGGUAGCCCUUUCCUCCCAAACCCACUAACUCUGCAAAAUUUGUCUGACCCAGGAUGGCUCUGAUAUCAAUUGAAACUGGCCCAAAUAACUUUUGUCCUCACUUUCCACUUGGUCCAAAAUGGUUAACCCAAGUUAUUUAUUAGUUUCGUGCUAGCUAUUAUAUACAAAUCAAUUUUCCUCAAAUCUAUCAAUGUGGGACGGAUCAGCUGCCGCAAUUUCACAAGCAGACAGAUGACCGUUACACUAAUAUUUCAUCUAUAUCAUAAUUUUUAUUUAUUUAUUUAUUUAUAUGUGGUAAAAAAUUAUAAUUAUUUUAAUUUAGGGUAAAUUUUUCUACUAUUUUUUAAUUAUAUCUAUUUUAAUAUAAAAAAAAUUAAUUUUCAUUAAAAUAAUAAAAUUAUUUUUAAUAACAUAUAAUUUAAAUUAAAUAGACUCCGAUGCUUAAGCUGGUGGAAAGUGCAUCCUGAUAGACCUGCGAGGUCUAAGGUUCGACUCCCCCAACCCCCUGUUUAAAAAAAAAAAAUUUAAAUUAAAUAUUAAGAUAUAAUGUGAAUUGUUACUUAGAAAAAAUAAAUAAUUAAUGAAGGAUUAAAUAAAAAAUUAAAUUAAAUUAAAUAGCUUAUCAUAGUCAAUUUACACCAGAAUGCUAUGAUUAAUGUGACUCCUUACUAAUCCCUUGGCAAACAUCUAAAUGAAAAAGUUCAAAAACAAAGUGAAAACAUAAAAAAAUUUGACACAUGUGACUUACUACAUGCGACUUACUUCCCGGUUUUGCGUUCCCCUUUCAUAUUUUCAAUUCCUUCUCCUUCACCCAUUUUCAUUCUUUCGACAGCUUGCAACAAGUAGCCUCUGGAUAUAGAGGGAUGGUUUCUUUGUGCUAAUGGGUUUUAACAAUUGGAUCUGCCUAAUUAGUAAUAGUUAGUUUCCUUCUCCACCUUCAAGCAAUUAGAAACCCGAUAAGCAAUGAUUCCUUUUCGCUCUGAGUUUCUGUAAAAGACGUACAUCACUAUAAUAAUUUAUGGCUAAUUAAUUUUUAAUUUUGAUGAUUGUUCAGUUGAUUGAUCAUGAACUUGGUGUUGUAACUAGGAUGUUUCGAUUUGAUAUUAUAUAAGCAGUGAUAAAUGAGCAUAUCUACCAAAUUGAAGAUCUAAUGGUUGAUGUGAUCCUUUGUGAAUAUUACAUGGAUCAUAUGUUUCUUUGUCUUGCUUAUAGAUCAUGUGUUUCAAGAUAACGUACUGGUUUUCCUCUGCAGAUCCCCUUUCAAGCGCAUACGGGCCAUCCAUGCAAGCAUCAAAGAAAGUUUUGGAAUCAGGAUUUGAAAGUGUUAUAUCCUCACCCUUUCCUUCCAGGCAUAUACAAUUCUGCACCCCCGAGCACACUACAGCACAAACCUAUAUAAGCAUACGAAGUAAGUUGUGCACAGUGAUUCAAAUAUUGCUAUGGCUAUUUAAUUUCCACAAUCAAUCACAAUUAAAUUUGGAUUCAAUCAAAUUGAUAUUUAUCUAAAUUAUUUAUAUUUUACUUUAAAUUUGUUCUAUUAUAAGAAUUUCUUUCUCUUAAUACUAAUAAUUUUUCACUAGUAUUAAUUUUUUUUUUUACUGAUAUUUCAUCCGAAAAUCAAUGAAAUUUAAUGAAAAAUGUUAUUUUUAUAACUUUUUUUUAAGUAGAGACUUAAUUCUUAAUUUUCAAAUUACAAUAAAGAUUUAAUAUAGACAAUUAGACAUACAACAGGUAAGUUAUAUAAUACUCUACUUUAUUCCCUCUAGUUUGAUAAAGGAGACAAUAAAAAUAAUGUCUUCGAUCGAAAUUCUACCCAUUCCAUUCUCCCCCAACGUCCUACCCAGCUAUUGGCAUAUAUGCAAUCAAACUUUGGCAGAUGACAUAUAUGCAGGUUUGUGUGCGUAUACGCCAAUCCUAUUAUGACCGUUGAUGACCGCUGAGCUUUUAGUAUCCGAACUGAGGUCGUAGACCUAAAGCUCAUUAGACCUCUCUAAGCAAACUGGCCCAAUACCAUGCCAUCCAGUCUAUGAUUAAAGCAGGCCGGACUGAUCACAGGCUCGGAUCUAUCAGAUGAGAGUCUAACCUAGUGACGUGAUGGGAGAUAGGAGAGCAAACCUAGUUAUCUUGUAGUCCUAUCAGCAUGUGUGCCAGGGUGAAUUAAAUAGCCCUCUGAUAGAGAUGAAAGCGUUGGUACAUCUGUACGUACGGAUCUGAAUGACAGAAUAAGUAGUAUUAUAGUAGGGUGGCGGUUAUACGUUACUAGAAACAGAAAAAAAAAGGGAUAGAGAGCGGGAGACAUGAUCUAAUUAACCAAUGAAAUAAAAAUCUAGCUAAUGAUGUAUUAGUUUUUUUAAUUAAAUAAGUGCCUUGUAUAGGAGGUUAGCAUAUGUUCUCAAUCAUUCAUGAAAAGCAAGCUAUACUUAUAUUUCUUCAUUCAUUUUGGAAGCUGUUCAGAAACGUGAGAGGUACGUUCAUAAUCCACUGCCCUUCCUCUUAUUGGAUUUUUUUUUUAAUUAAUACCUUCUCUGUAUUAUAAUUUUUAUUUAUUUUUUAAUUAUCUUAAAAUUAUUAUUCAUACUUUUUAUAUUAUUAUAAUAUAUAAAUUAAUUAUUAUAACACUAUUUUAUUUUAUUUUCAAAAAAUCUCAUAAAAUAUUUUUUAAUAUUUAAUAAAACUUAAUAUAUUUAAAAAGUUGUUAAUUUAAAUCUCUUAAAAUAUUUUCUAAAAAUUUUUAUUUAAUUAGGAGAAAAUUAUAUAAUUUAAGAAUUUUAUGUAAUUAAAAGUUUAAAAUUUUAAUUAAUGUCUAAUUUCAGUUAAUUAAAUUAUUUAUGUGAUAAAAAUAAUAACAUAUAAUAUAUCAUAUAAGUUAAUUUAAAAAGUUACUAUAAUUAAAUAAAUUUAAAAGUUAAACUUUUUAUUCAAAAUUAAAAGUUUAGAUUAUAAAUAUGAAAAUUUAUAAAAUUAGAGUGUUUUUGAAUUAAUAGACCUGAAAAAUAUUAUACAUUCACUUAAUCUGAUUCGAUCAUGAUUUAAUAUAUAUGUGUAUGGUUAUACUAGGGAAAAUGAGUAUAAUUAAAAAAUUUAAUAUAUUUAAAAGAAUUUUUAAGAAUAUUUAAAAAUAUUUAAUAUAUUUAAAAUGAGUAUAAUUAAAAAGUUAAUAAAAAAUUAUAUUUUUAAUAUGCUAAAAAAAUAAAGUAUAUAAAAAUUAUAGCACAGAAAAAUGAGUAUAUAUAUUACAUAUAUUAAUUAUAACAAAAUUUUUAAAAUUAAUAGUUACGCUGAGGGUUAUUAAUGUAAUUCUACCUCUAAAUAUAUUAUUUAGCAUUUUAGUUUAUUUAUUUUUUUAAAGAAAAAAGAAAAUUAAACAAGUGCCUUCAAUAAGAGGUUAGCAUAUGUUCUCAAUCAUCCAUGAAAAGCAAGCCAGAGAAGAAGAUUAACCCUUUAUUUAUUUAGUAUGAAUUAUUUUAUAAUAAUAGAAUUUAAAUGAAUUUUUUUUAAUAAAAUUAUAUAAAAUUUCAAUUUGUUUUAAAAUGAUUUUUUAUAUUAAAAAAAAAUUUAUUUUAAAUAAUAAAAUUGAAUUUUUUUUAUUCUACAUAGUGAGUUUGAAAAAGGAAAGGAUGAUACUUGUUUUCCCAGUCCAACAAGGCAAUGGUAAACCAAUAAUUGAGAAAAGAAUAAUCCUUUUUAUUAUAAAUUGUAAUGUUUUGAUUUCAAUCCUUACAUUUGCUUAUGUUUGCUAUUUCUUUAUUGAUUUGAAAUUUCUAAAUUUUCAGUUGGAAUUAAGCUGUUCAGAAACAAGAGAGGUACGUUCAUAAUCCACUCUCCCCCUCCUCUUAUUGUAAGAUUAUUUUCAGUUAAUAUAUAUAAAUAUUCAAUGUGCCUAAAUUAUUUAUAUUCCUUACUAUAUUAUUUAAUUCAUACUUAUAUUCAAAACUUUAAAUUUUAUAUGAUAAAAUUAUUUAAAUUUUAUUGCAAAAUUCAAUUUUUUUUUAUUUAGUGCAAAAUUCAAAAUUAAAUAAUUUUAUUGAAAUAAAUUAAAGUGAGUGAUAAAAAUAAAACAUAACUCAAAAUUGAGUGAUUCUAGCUAAAAAAAAUUAUAUAGAUAUAUGUGGUCGUGGAUAUUCACAUUCAUAAUCCUCUUAUUGUAAGAUUAUUUUCCAUUAAUAUAUAUAAAUAUUCCAUGUGCCUAAAUUAUUUAUAUUCUUUCCUAUAUUAUUUAAUUCAUACUUAUAUUCAAAACUUUAAAUUUUAUAUGAUAAAAUUAAAUUUAUUUUAAUUUAUCAUAAUUUUAAUUAAGAAAAUUAAAUUGAAUCUGAAAAGGUAAUAAUAAAUUAUAAUAUAGUUUUUAAAGUUUUAUUUAACUAAUAAAAUAAUAUUUAAAAUAUAUUUUUUUAUUUUAAUAAUAUCUUUUUUAUUAAUCACAUUAUUCACUUUUCAUUUUUAUUUUUAUAUACCUAUAGUAGUUUAAUAAAAAUUUAAAAUAUAAAAAAAUUUUAAUAUAUAAAAUAUAUAAUUUUUUUAUUUAAUAUUAUGAUAUGAAAUACAAUUUUUUAUCUCAUCAGUUAAUAAAUUAAUAUAUAUCAUAAAUUUACUUGUUGUUAUAUAAAUAAAUAAAAUAAAAAUAAUAAAAAUAUUAAAUAUCUCAAAUAACUUACGAUAAAUAUAAUUAAUAUAUUUAAAUUUUUUAUAAAAAUGGAUAAAUUUACAUAUUAAAAAUAUAAUAUUUCAUUUAAUUUAAUAUUAUUAAUAUUAAACAUAAAUUUUCAUAUCUUAAAAAUAUUUACAUAAUUUAUAAUGGUGAAUAUAAAUGUUUAAUAAAAUAUUUUAAUAUAUAAUAUUUAUAUAUAAUAUUUUAUGUAAUAAAAAUUUAUUUGUAAUAAUUAUUUAUUUAAUAUUAUAAAUGGUAAAUAUAAACUAAAAAUAUACCAUGUGAACUAAAAAUUUUCUAGUUAAAAUUGAUUAAAAUAAAUAAUUAAAAUUGAGAUAAAUAUAAAAAUUUUAAUUUUAUUAUUUAAAAUUUUAAUAUUAAAAUAUAAAUGUGAAAAGUGAUAAAUAUUUAAAUUUUUUAUCAAUUAAAAAAUUAUAUUGAUUAAUUUAUAAUUUUAUUAUCCAUGGUUGUUGAACUUUAAUAUAUGUUUCAUUUCUACGACUAAAUUUUAAUUUGUUUCAAUAAAAUUAUUUAUUUUUUAUUUAUUUUUUUUAAAUAUAAUUUUAACCUGCGAUAACAAAUUUUUAAGUUACCAAAAUAAAAAAUAAUUAUUUAGUUUAUUCUUUUCACCACUCUUUUUUAUAUUUAAAGAAUUUAGCAAUUAAUUAUUCUAUGUUAAAUGAAAUCUUAAUUUAAUAAAUUUAUUAAUAUUUUGGUUAUUAUUUUAUAAUUAUUUGUAUUCCUUUUUAUUAUUAUUAUUUUAUUACUAAAAUAAUUAAUUCAAAUUAAACUUAAAUACAAAAUAAUUUUAAAGUUUUAGUUUUUUCAUUUAGUGCAAAAUUCAAGUAAUCAUAUUAAAAUUAAAAUUAAAUAAUUUUAUUGAAAUAAAUUAAAGUGAGUGAUAAAAAUAAAACAUAAUUCAAAAUUGAGUGAUUUUACCUUUCGUGGAUAUUCACAUCACUUAUUUAAUUUUUAUAACUAGUUAAGUCCACAGACAUGGAUGUUGUGACUUGUAUCGCUGGAAAAAUUGGAGAACUCUUGGUUGAGCCAAUCGGGAGACAGAUUGGCCAUUUUAUUCACUAUAGAAGUAACACUGUGAAACUCCAGGAGCAAGUUAAAAUACUUGAAGGGGUGAGGGAUGACUUGCAGGUAUCUGUUGAUGCAGCAAAGAGGAAUGGUGAGGUGAUCAGAAAAGAGGUUCAGAAUUGGACAUCAAUGGUUGAUGGGAUUCUAUCAGAGGCUAACAAACUUCUUGAAAAGGCUUCCAAAGUAAGGUUUCAUAAUUUGGCUACACGCUAUCAGCUAAGCAGGAAAGCACAAGAGAAAACAAUGGAAAUUGAAAAACAGAAAAAUGAAGGCAAGUUUGAUAGAGUUUCCAAUCCUGCACCUCCGCCACCAUUAUUGUUUCCAUCUCAAGAAGAUAUUGUGAUUUUCGAAAGCAGAGAACGACAAGUAGAGGAGAUUAUGGAGGCCUUGAAGGACAACAAAACCAACUUCAUUGGGAUAUACGGAAUGGGAGGGGUGGGUAAAACUACCCUGGUGAAACAAGUUGUUAAAAGGGCUCAACAAGACAGGCUGUUUCCUACUAUUGCAAUGGUUGUGGUGUCACAAACCAUUGAAGUGAAAAAGAUUCAAGACCAGAUAGCAGAGAGGUUGGGUUUGAAAUUAGAUGAGGCUAACGAACAAAAUCGAGUAAGCCGGUUGCUGGCUAGAUUGAAGGAAGAGAACAAAGUGCUCAUUAUCUUGGAUGAUAUUUGGGCUAGACUCGAUCUUGCAACUGUGGGCAUUCCACUUGGCCGUGAUCAUGCAAGUUGCAAAAUUAUUGUCACAACACGUCGUAAACAAGUGUGUGACGCUAUGGUCGACACAAGGAGUGAGACUGCAAAAGUCAUCCCUAUUAAUAUUUUAUCUGAAAAAGAAUCAUGGGUCUUGCUUAAAAAGAAUGCAGGCGCUGAGAUUGAGUCUCUGACUUUGAAUUCUUUUGCAAAAGAUAUUCUCAGAGAAUGUGGAGGCUUGCCUAUAGCUCUUGUAACAGUGGGAAGGGCAAUGAGAGGCAGAGAUCCUGAUGAAUGGCAAGAGGCAGUUAGAGAGCUAAGGAAAUCACAGCCAGAAACCAUUGAAGGGAUGGAUGAAGAUGUGUACAGAUGUCUUCAGUUCAGCUAUACUUACCUGAAAGAUAAGAAAGCCAAGAAAGUUUUCAAUUUAUGUUGUUUAUUUCCUGAGGAUUUUAACAUCCGUAUAGAAGACCUGGUAAGAUAUGGGUUUGGACUGAAAAUAUUUGAAGAUAUGAGAAUGGAGGAUGCAAGACGAAGUGCUCAUUCCAUCAUAAAAAAUCUCAAAGAUUCUUGUUUAUUAUUGGGAAGUGAUGAGGAAGGCUGCGUAAAAAUGCAUGAUGUCGUGCGUGAUGUUGCCUUAUCAAUGGCAUCAGAUUAUUUUGUUAGAGAUGGUGUCAAAAAGUUGGAGGAUUGGCCAGAUAUGGAAGAGAUGAAGCGUUAUACUGGCAUCUCAAUAAUGCAAAAUCAGGUUGCUCAAUUUCCCGAUGUUUGGGAUAGCCCAAAUCUCAAGAUAUUAUUGAUGGAUAUUGAAAAAACUGAUUUAGUUCAUUUGGAGGAGGCGAUGGACAUGCCAGCAACGGUCUUGACAGGGAUGAAAGCCCUUCAAGUUUUUCAUCGGAGAGAUAGUAGUAGGAAAAGUUAUAGAGCACAAUCUUUUCGGUUCUUGAAAAUAGAUUUUAGUCAAUUAAGCAAUCUUCGGACGUUGAUGCUUCAGUAUUAUAAGAUUGACACCACUCCAAUUGGGGAGCUGAAGAUGCUUGAAAUUCUCAGCUUGAAGAAUUGUCAGUUCCGAAAGCCAUUCAAUACAAUAGGGAAGUUGACUAAUCUAAGGUUACUGGAUGUGGAAUUUUCUUCUCUUGAUGGCGACUCUUCUUCCAUAUUUCCAAUCGAUGCUAUGUCUACUCUGUCCCGAUUAGAAGAAUUGUACUUCCUUUCUUUUGAUAUGUUAAGACCCCCACAGUUCCCAUUUUUCCUUUCUUUUGAUAUGUACCCAUUUUUCCUUUUUCCACGUAAUUUUCCAUCCUUCGAUGACUUGAACAUAACAGUUUUGAAAACCCUUUCUCGCUUGACCACCCUUACAAUUCACAUUCAAACCAUUCCCGAAGGCUUUAUGUUCCCAGAGUUGAAGGUUUUCAAAAUUCGUUGGGGAAGCCGGAGACGCCUUAGAGUAAAAGAAAAGCUGAUUAAUGCAUUUUUAUCUCAAGUUGAAGGAUUUAAUUAUUUGGGUCUUUGUGGUGAAUUCGGGGGCGGGAGUAAUAUCACAAUUUCAUCACUAGUUUGUAUGAAGCCAUUAAUGCCAAGAACAAAUUUUCUGUAUUUAGAUUCACUUGAGGAGUUAAAGAAUAUCAAUCCUUGCUUAUUGUUAGGUGGUUUAGAUGCUUUGAAGAUACUAGUGAUUGUCAAUUGUCCUAGUUUCGCUUACUUGAUGAACGCUGAAGAGGUUCUUGGAAGGUAUGCUUUGUUGCCGGAACUGGAAGGACUGUGUUUUGAGGAUUUGGACACCUUCAAAGCAUUAUGCAAUGGUGAACUACCUUCUGGAACUUCCUUGUCUAUGAGGAAGCUCAAAUACUUGACCUUUUUUAGAUGUCCAGAAUUGUUGAAUAUUUUCACUUUACCCAAUCCACAGCAAGAAUUCGAGCAGCUCCAAGUUGUUGAAGAGAAAGGAAUGAAGAACAUAUCGAAGGGCCCCACUGAGUUGUUGCAUCUGCCCAAGCUACAAAUCGUAUGCAUUAAUGGGUGCCAGAAAUUAAAAGUUAUAUUUCCUGCUUCUAUUGCUCGAGGACUAGAGCAGCUGAAAGAACUUGAAUUAGAAGACUGUGAUCAAUUAGAAGCAGUUAUUGCAGAAAGGGAAGAAGAGGAAAAGAGGAUUGACAAAGUGGUGUUCUCUCAAUUAAUAAGCAUUAGGUUAUACAAGCUUUACAAUCUUAAAGCUUUUUGCAUGGAUAACUUACCUUUGAAAUGGCCAACCUUGGAAGAGUUAUCUGUGGAUUCUUGCCCUAAAAUGAAGACAUUCGCGGCUUCUGAUGGAAACCAGAUUACACCGAAGUUGAAGGAGAUCAAAAUAAAUACCAAUUACAUAGAGUUUGAUGGAACAAAUUUAAACACAAUUAUGAAAUAUCACAACAAAGAGGAAGUACGUACCGUUUUAUCAUUUUAAUUGUGUUUAAACCUAUAACACAGUGUUUGACCUUCCAUAUGUUUGUAUUUGUGAUUCAUGGAGUUGCAGAUCCAAGCGAUGAACAACUGAAGGUGUGUCCAAUGUUAGAAGGCAAGACAAAAAAAGAGGUAUACUGAUUGAAAAUGAUUAAGUUUUUUUUGCAUUAAAUUUCACUACAAUUCUGAAGAAUUUCUAUUCUUACAAUUUUUUUAUUUUUAUUUCAGGUGCAAGGUUUUUAAUCCUUACAUCAUUGCAGCCAGGAGUGGCAAAUGGCAACAUGGAGUACUUUAUAUUCAUAAGAUGUUCAAUGUUAGACAUUAUUUAUUAAUUGUGAUGUCAAUAUUAUUUUCAUAAAUUUAGCGUGCCAUAUCUAGUACUAUUAAAAAUGAACUUGCUGAUAAAUAUAUUAUGUUUUUUAUUACUAUUUGUGGAUUUCAAAUGUAAAAAUACAAGAAUAUAAUAAUAAAUUUUAGCCUCUGUAGUUCUUAUUUCUGUUUUCAUUUACAGAUUUUAUAGAUCUCUAAUUUUAUAUUAUGGAUGAGAUUCUGACGAUAAAAAUCACAUCACAGUGCUGAUGCAUUUAGAAUUAAUUUUAGAAAUUCAAAAAAAUAUUUUUAUGCCAUAAAAAAAUAAAUUAAAUUAAAUAAUAAUAAAUAAAAAUUUUUUAAUUAAUACUAAUUUAAAUAAAAUUAACCAAUGAAAUAAAAAUCUAGCUAAGAAUGUAUUAGUUUUUUUUUUUUUUAAUUAAAUAAGUGCCUUGUAUAGGAGGUUAGCAUAUGUUCUCAAUCAUUCAUGAAAAGCAAGCUAUAAAAGAAGAUUAAUUAAUUUUUUAAUUAGUAUUAAUUCAAAUGAUAAACCAAUAAUUAAGCUAAGAAUCCCCUUUUAUUAUAAAUUGUAAUGUUUUGAUUUCAAUCCUCACAUUUGCUAUACUUCUAUUCUUCAUUCUUUUGAAUUUCUUUCUAAGAAAUGUUAGAUUAUAAAAUAUAAUAAUUAAUUUUUUUAAAAUUAAAUUAAAAAAAAUAAAAUUUGAGAGCUAUUAGAUUUAUUUAGAUAUACUUAUUAUUAAAAUAUUUUUUAUAAAUAAAUAUUCUGGUAACAUUUUUUCACUUUAUAUCUGAUUUUAUAUAUUUGUGAGUGUAUAAUAAUUAUUUUUUAGAACAAUAUUUUUUAUAUUUUUUAAUGUUUGAAUAUUCAAAAAAUUUAAUUAAUAAAAAAUAUUUUCUUAGUAAAAAAAUAAGAAAAAUAUUUUCUAUAAAAAUUAUUUUUUACUAACAAUAUUUUUGAUUGAAAAUAUUUUUUAAAUAUAAGUUAUUUUUAUAAAUAAAUAAAAAUUAAUGGUAAAUUUUUCUAUUUAACCUAUAAUCUAAAAUAUUAAGACUCUAUUUAUUUUACAGAAAAUAUUUUUUAAAAAAUAAUUUUUAUAUUUUCUAACAUCUGAAUACUUAAAAAAUUUAAUUAACGAAAAUAUUUUUUUAAGAAAAUAAAUCACUUUAAAAAAAAAUUUUAAAAAAAAAAUAAAGUAUUUUUUACAUUUUAUUCUUAUUAAGACUUAUAUAUAUAAAUUUAUUCAUAAAUUUUAUUUUUUAAAUAAAGAUUAAGCAACGUAAAAUAAAUUAUUUUAUUAAAAAUAUUUUUUUAUGAAAAACAGCUUUUUUUAUAAAAUAUUUUUUAAAUAUAAAUUAUUUUUUAAAAAUAAACAGGACUUAAAAGUUAAAAUAUUUGAAAGAAACAAUACUAAAACGUAAAAUAUUUUAAAGAGAGAUCAUAGAUUUAAACCGGUAAGUGAGAUUAGUAAAUAUUUCAUUUAUUUCUUAAUUUUUAUUUAUUUAUUUUUAUAUGUGGUAAUAAACUAUAAUUAUUUUAGUUUAGGGUAAAUUUUUUUAUUAUUUUUUAUAUUAUAUCUAUUUUAAUAUAAAAUAAAAAUAUUAAGUUUCAUUAAAAUAAUAAAAUUAUUUUUAAUAAUAUAUAAUUUAUUAAAUAUUAAGAUAUAAUGUGAAUUGUUACUUAGAAAAAAUAAAUAAUUAAUGAAAAAUUAAAUAAAAUAGCUUAUCAUAGUCAAUUUACACAUGGACAAUAAUGUAAAAAUUUGAAAAUUAACAAUAUUUUAGUACAUUUGAGAAAAGAAAAAUAAAUAAAUACAAUAAACAAAGAAAAUAAUUAAUUACUCUAGAAAAAUUACGAGUUACUUAAUACUAUUUUCAUCUCAUAAUAUUUAUCGUUUAAAUUAAUUAAUAACAUUUAAUUUUAGAAAAAUAUAUAAUAAUUUAUUUAAAAUAUUUUUAGGUGGUUAUAAUUUAUUCACAUAUUAAUAUUAAAUGAUUUAUAAAUUAUUGAUUCAAAAAAAAAAGAUUUAUAAAUUAAUAACAGUAUAAAAAAAUAAUUAAUAUUAUUUUAAAAUUUUUAAUGUGAUGAAUAAUCUGAAAAAACAAAUCAUUAAAUACUUAAUUUUUUUUAAGUGAUUGUUAAUACUUCCCUUGACGUUAUUAUUUCUCUAAUAAUUACUAUAACUAUCAAUUAAUCUGAAAAAAUUAUUGGUCCGUGAAAACCACGCGUCUUGUGAUUCGUUGGGACUAGUCACCAUAACCAAAGCUGGAACACUUCCUUGCGCAUGUUAGCUGUCCUGCGGGAAGCUCCUCAUUCCUUUUACUUUCCUACGAUUAUUCCAAAACUCUUGUGCCGAUCUUCAAAAACGCUUUUGCGGAAUUCUUCUUAAUCAUUACGCAUCUUGGGUCUCAAAAGUUUUAGCCGAAUCGUCUCAUUGUCUAGAGAUUAAAGGAAAAUUAUAUGGCUCAAGCAGUUGAAGAAUGGUACAAGCAGAUGCCUAUUAUCACUCGCUCGUAUCUAACAGCAGCUAUUGUCACCACCAUCGGUUGUUCCCUGGAUGUAUGUUUCCUCUAUCCCUUUAAUCCGUCGUGAUGAGCAUCUUCUUAAAUUGGAAUUGAAUAUUUGUUUGGGCAGAAAGAGUUUUGCUUGAUUGUUUGAUAGUUGAUAAUUUUGUUUCUAGACAAAUGGGUCUUAUUGUUUUUAGCUGAUUUCUAAUAGGGUUUGUUUUAAUUUUGCGAAUUGAAGCCAUUUCCUUUUCAUGUUCUAUGUGAAUUGUUUGUGCUUUUCGGUUUAUUGCUCAAACUUUAAUUCUAUAAUCAAAAUUUUGGAUUUUGAAAGUUGUAUUUAUUUUUUUAUUUGUUAUAUCUUAUUAAUGACUAGGCUACUUAAUUUUGGUUAUUGUGGCCAUUGGUACGACAGUCAUUUUCCCACACAGUAUUAACCUCGUAGUUCAAGUUCAAGGCAAACCAUCCAUGUUGGAGUUAGAGGAUGUGUCAGGAAGGAAAAUAACCAUCCUUAUGGGUUAGCUUCAGAAGUAGAAUUAUUUUCAACAACAUUUAGAGUACUAUUCAUGUCAAUCAGUCUACCCCUUUGGGUUUGGGUUAGUGAACUUGAUUAGUUUGUUAUGAUUUUGUAUUUUUUUUUCCUUCGAUCAUGUUUGUAUUAGCAUUGAAAUUUCAAGUGGCCUUGUUCAUCUCUUCCUUUUGUAAUUUUGAUCGUCUGCAUGUAUACUUGCACGGUUGAAAAGCUUUAGCAACUAGUCGUCUUUUCCUCUCAUUUUCUUUCAUUUCCUUUUCUUUGUAGAUAAUAUCUCCUCAUAAUUUGUACUUGCAUCCUACACUCGUGGCUAAGCAUUAUCAAUUCUGGCAUCUCAUCACCAAUUUUCUGUACUUCCGGAAAAUGGAUAUUGAUGACUGUUGGAUUUCUCCACCCCGGUUCAAGGCCAGACCCAAGAUAACAGUCCAUUAUCCAGAGAUUUCGGAGCUUCACAUUUGUAUCCAGUCCGAUCCACUCCGCCUUGGGACCGGACCUUAGUUAAUUUCUCCAAUCAGGCUGGCCCAGCAUGUCCGGCCCAAUGAACAGAAUACACUUUGGACUCAGUCUUAAAUCUGCCUUUUAGCCCAGCCUGGAACCAGAAAGAAGAUCUCUCCAUCUGCCUUGUGGACCCAUCCACACGUGCGCUGAGGGAAUCAAAAGCCGUUACGCAUGAGGCAGGUACCCGAUAUCCUCGUAUGUCCGUAUCAACGUAGCAGGGACAGGUGGCCCAAUGAUAGACGGUUUGUUAUACGUCACUAGCAGGCAAGAGGAAACAAAUAAUGAGAGGAAUGGGCUCCUUGGAGGCCAAGUUUUUGAUCACUUACAGAACCUCCGUAAAACCCUUGUAGAAAAAAUCCUAUUUUUCUGGAUCUCAGAUCAUCAAUUGGCGCCGUCUGUGGAAAACGGAAGGAGAUCUUUUCAUCACCGGAAGUUCCACCUUUACAAAACCCACUGAGAUCCACGAUGGCUAAUCACAACGAAAACAACGCCGUUCCAAACGACCUGAGCUCUGCCCAAGAGGGGCAGCAGUUCUCCUUUUCUAGUCCUACAACCCCAAAUAACCAACCACCCAUUCCUCUCAACCCCUCACCAAGCCUGGCUGGGAACGUGCCCCCCACGGCCUUGUCCAACCAAGACCUCUAAACCAUUGCCCUCCAGCUACAAAACACCGCCCACUGGUUGUGGCAACUAAUGUAACAAAGGGGCCUCAGUACCCCCGUAAAUGCGGUGCCGGUGGUAGAAGAGCUCCAGACCAAUGAACCUCAACCUACUCUUAACCAUCAUCAAACCAAUAGCCGUGAAGUUGGGGAAGAGGAAGAACCGGAAGCUAGGAUCCAUGGAAGGAGGGUGAGAGAGAUGAUCGAAAAUGAUGGGGCUGAUAGUUAUUCCGCCGGAACAACUAGGUGGACGAGGAGUGAAGCGGAGGAGGAAGAACACCGCCUGGAGAAAAAGCCCAGGCAGGAGGAGAAGAACGUAGACCAAAAGCUGCAGGAACUGAGAGAGCAGCUCUUAGCUGAGUUGAGAUUGAAGGAUCAGGAUCAAACUCUCCUACCCACCUCUUCACCCUUCUCGAAGUGGGUGCAGCAGGAGACUGUUCCCAAGAAGUUUAUGAUACCACCAAUGGCGGCCUAUGACGGAGCCGGAAAUCCCCGGGAGCAUGUCUUGAACUAUAAAACUUUCAUGGAGCUGCAAACCUUGUCGGAUGCCUUGAUGUGCAAGGUAUUCCCAACGACGCUCUCGGGGCCAGCACGGGCGUGGUUUAAUAAUCUCGAGUCCGGAAGCAUCAACAGCUUUGGAGACCUGGCCACUCGCUUCAUCAGCCGGUUUAUCGCCGGGGUGCCUGCAGAUAGGAAGACGAGCUAUCUGGAGAUGAUCCGGCAAAAGAGAGAUGAAUCGCUCAGGGAGUACGUCGCUCGUUUCAACACAGAGGCCCUGCAGAUUCUCGAGCUCGAUGAGGGAAGGGCGGUAGAAGCCAUGCAGAAGGGGACGACCUUGGCCGAGUUCUUCGGCUCUUUGAGUAGGAAGCCUUCGACCUCACUGGCCGAACUAAUGAAACGGGCGGAGAAGUAUAUAAGGCAGGAUGAUGCCUUAACAACAAGCAGGUUCGCUAGAGGAGCGAUUGAUAAAGGGAAAAUCCUGGAGGAUCAAAGGCCAGAAAAGCACGAGAAGAAACAUGGCAGAAGGCCUGAGCCAUACAAACAUCCCUGGGAGCGAAGGAACCAGAAGCCUCUCCCCCCGGGGUCCCAGAGCAGAAGUCACUCCCUCCAUGGGUCCCAAAGAAGCCGACCCCACUCAACGCUUCUAGAGCCGAAGUGCUCAUGGCUGUCCAAAAUAAAGAGUUCUUUCAAUGGCCCAGGCCUAUGACGGCAGAAGCAAGCCAGCGAAAUCCCGAUAAGUACUGUCAGUACCAUCGUACGCACGGCCAUGACACCAAUAACUGCUUCCAGUUGAUCACAGAAAUCGAGAGGCUGAUAAAAAGAGGGCACCUCAAGAACUUUGUAAAGAGGCCGGAGGAACAAAGGCCUUAGCCGAACUCAACACAUCAAGCACUCAGGAUAACGGGAGCAAGUCCAGUAAAUGAUGGAUCCAGUGGGACCAUCAACAUGAUUACUGAGGACACAGGAAGUCGGAAACCUGUCUACCUCUGAUCGAGACGUCGUGGAAAUUACACCAUGUGGACGGAUUAGUGAUGAAUCGUGCUCAUCUUUCACACUUUGGAUAGUCAUACCGGCUGAUGUCGAGACAAGGUACGCCUAAUUUGACAUGUGCCAUAAGCGUUAGGAAAACUUACGAGAGCAAAUAUUAUUUAUUGAACUAUGCUCAUUGUAUGAAGUAAUACUGUUAUUUAGAACUAAUUUUACGUUCAUAUAAGGUAUGAGACUGAAUAACAAGUGCGACAUAUUGUUGGUGAAUAUUAUUGAAUUGACGAUGAACAUCCUCGCCAUAUACGCUUUGUGCAAGCUCUUAUUUUGCAGAAAAAUCCUGAAUUCUUCAGAAGACCCUGAGACAUAGAGACCUCAGAGGUGCAAGGCUGGCGAGGAUCUCAAAAAGACCUCCCGGAGCAAAAAUGGCCAGGAUCUCGUAAGAUCUCCUGGAGCAAAAACGGCCGGCGAGGAUCUCAAAAAGACAUCCCGGAGCAAAAACGGCCAGGAUCUCGUAAGAUCUCCUGGAGCAAAAACNNNNNNNNNNNNNAUCUCCUGGAGCAAAAACGGCCGGCGAGGAUCUCAAAAAGACCUCCCGGAGCAAAAACGGUCAGGAUCUCGUAAGAUCUCCUGGAGCAAAAACGGCCGGUGAGGAUCUCAAAAAGACCUCCCGGAGCAAAAACGGCCAGGAUCUCGUAAGAUCUCCUGUGUAACGACCCGGAAAUUUGGACCGCUACCGGCGCUAGGAUCCAGAUCGGCGUAAGGCCGCCGGGACCCGUAGCAAGCCUAACAUAUAACCUGUGAACCUGUCUCAUCCCAUACAUGAUCAUACAAAACAUAAACCUGUAGAUUUCCUCAUACAUCAACCAAGCUCAAGCUGUACAUAAACAUAAUCAUAAACAUAACCUCCACUGGAGCCCUCAUCAAAUGCUCCAAUGGGGUAUCUCAUCAUACAUGAACUUGGUUGAAACUUAACAUCAUAUAUCAUAACUUAAAGAUCAUGUACAUGCCAAUGGGAUUAACAACAUAUAAUGGUCAAGCACAACUCUAACCUCAAUAACAAAACCUGAAAUUACAUACUAUCAUUAUACAAAGCAUUCAUUACAAUAUUUGUCAUGUCCACAGUUCUAACCAACUAUUACAUCCAACUGACUUCUACUCUGACUGACCGCCUGGUCUACCCUGUACCUGCACAUCUGGGGUUAGGGGAGAGGGGUGAGCUAUAAAGCCCAGUGAGCAGAAUAGUGAAAACAUUAUAUUCUAAAACAUGCCUUUCAUGGAAUGCAACAUAGCACAAACAAAAACACAUCAAGGAUGAACUUGUCACCAAUGGCCCUCUACAUGGUCCAACAUGGUCCAACUGUGCCAGAACGUAGAAUGGGUCCUGGUCUUUCUCUUACUCUGUGCCAGGGACGUAGAAUGGGUCUUCCUGGACUUUCUCUUACUCUGUGCCAAGGACGUAGAAUGGGUCUUCCUGGACUUCCAUACCAUAUCAUCAUAACAUCAUAUCAUACGAGGACCAAUGGAUCAUUCAACAUUCAUCCACAACAACAUCAUAGUAUGCAAUGCAACAUCUUCGUGAAUACUAAUGCAAACACCCUAUAAUAUCACAUGGCAUAUAUGAUGCAUGAACAUGCUCAAAAAGUUAUAUUUCAUUUAUUUAAAACUUAAGAGUUUAUUCCACUUACCUCUGGCUAGCUCUGACAAUACUCUAUAGCAGCUGACUCACUGCUAGGGUCCUCGGUUCCUCGGGUCCGAACCUACACAGGUGGACUCCAAUGAGGGACCAAACAUAUAUAAACAUAACUCUAGUAUACUCCCCAAAAACUUCCCAAAAACAUCAUGAAUUAAUCAUAGGAAAACAUGCAUGAAAUGGCUGGACAGGGCACUUUCGGCGGCAGGUUCGGCGGCCGAAAGUCCCUCCAGAGCCGAAAGUUAGGCAGGUUCGGCGGCCAAAACUCCCAGACAGAGACGAAAGUCUCUUUUCGGGGGCAGGCUUCGGCAGCCGAAAGGCUUGCCUCCCAGCCAUGUUCGGCGGCCGAAAGUCCUUCGGCUGCCGAACCUGGUUUCUGCCAAAGGGCAGAAACUUGGCUCCUCAUGCCUCCAAAGCCUCAAAUCAUGCAUAAACUCAACCUAAAACAUGCAUACAAGUUCCUAGGGGUCUCAAACUAACAUAUACCCUAACUACAACACUUCAAUCAUACACAUUCAAGCCACAUUGUUCAAAGAUCACAUAAAACCUAACAUAGCUCAACUAACUUAAACAUGCAUUUCUACCCCAUAAAACUUUAUAAAACUUGUUUAAAACAUACAUUGAGCUUAAGAUCGGCUCUUACCUCUUGAAGAUCGAGGGAAAACAACCUUAGCUCGGAAAUGGGGGAGAGAGAGUUCCUUGAACCUCUAAGCUUCAAAACUUGUUCAAAAGCUCAAAAUCUUCAAAACAAAGAUGAAAAGCUUGUCAAAACGUGAAAGAUUUGAAGGAAAACGUUCAAGAUCGGUGAGGGGCGGCGGAGAGCUCACCUUGGCCGAAAAUGGGGAAAAAGCUCGCCCGUUUUCGGCUAAGGGACCCUUUUAUAGGUGGCUGGCCAGGCCACGUUCGGGGGCCGAAAGUGCCUCCGCAACACAUGCAAGUUCGGCGGCCGAACCUGGACUUCCCUCACUCAUGCUUUCGGGGGCCUAACGUGCCUCCGCAUGCAUGCUAUGUUCGGCGGCCGAACUUGACUUUCGGCGGCCGAACCUGGGUUUUCCUCCAAAGGCUUUUCAUGCAAAACUCAUAUAAAAUCAUACUUAAAAACAGUAAAAUACAUGAAAACAUUUUAAUAAAACACGAUAUUACCCUUCUAGAGGUCUCCGAACAUCCAAAUUUUACCGGACGGUAGGAAUUCCGAUACCGGAGUCUAGCCGGGUAUUACAUCCUGGAGCAAAAAUGGCCAGGAUCUCGUAAGAUCUCCUGGAGCAAAAACGGCCAAGAUCUCGUAAGAUCUCCUGGAGCAAAAACGGCCGGCGAGGAUCUCAAAAAGACCUCCCGGAGCAAAAACGGCCAGGAUCUAGUAAGAUCUCCUGGAGCAAAAACGGCCGGCGAGGAUCUCAGAAAGACCUCCCGGAGCAAAAAUGGUCAGGAUCUCGUAAGAUCUCCUGGAGCAAAAACGGCUGGCGAGGAUCUCAAAAAGGCCUCCCGGAGCAUAAACGGACGGGAUCCCCAAGAUCUCCCGGUGCUACAAGCAAAAACAAUUCAUAAAUAAGUACAGUUCUGACCCCACGAAAAAGAUUGGGGCACGGGGCCAUAAAUGAACAGCUAAAAAAUUUUUGACCUCCCAAGGGACAGCCAAAAGCGCCAAAGCGCCACGCCGACCUCAAGAGGGUACUGGAACAGAAAUAAAAGAAUACGAAACCGACCUCUCGAAAGAGCUCGGAUUACAAGCCAAUAAGACCUCGAUCUCACAAAAUAGUCAGCAUAUAUCGAAAUUAAACUAAGGCGCCCCAACGCCUGUAUCAAUGCAACCUACUAAAGGCCAAUGCAAGGCUGGCGGCGCCAAAGCGCCAAAGCGCCAAAGCACCAUGCUGAUCUCAAGAAAAUGAAACUCGGUAUUGGAAAAACCCAAUACAGAGUCAAACAAAGAAUCAGGGGCAAUCAUAAGAGGCACCGGCCUCGAGAAUUGACCAUCAGCACUAAACCAACUCAGCUGGCCUAGAGAGAGGUCCAUGCAGCAAAGAGCCCGCAAAACAGCCCAUAAAACACUCGGGGGUAAAAAAUCCAACCAACCGAUACAUACAGGAGAGCCUGAGACUUAGAUAGAAAAUCGAGGAGACAGGAACGAUACAAAAAGCUGAAUAAGCCAUUUUGAACGACCGAAUGGGGCAGUAGAAACCCUGACUCAUCAGAAUAUAAAAGAAUCGAGCCGCAAUAUGGUCGAGCCCAAAACAGAUAGUCCGACCUCCUCAAAUCCAGGGUCAAUCUCCCCGGAAGCUUGGAGGGGCCUUACGCCUGUACCGGCAAAGCUAUAAGCCUAUAAAAGAAAAAGGUAAGGCCGAAUAAACAAGCAGUCAGACCGAAACACAGCCCGUAUAAGGCUUGACAAGAAAGCAAGAAAUUAAGUCUGAAUAAGGCUUGACAAGAAAGCAAGAAAUUAAGUCUGGCUUCACAAAAGAGCUCGGGGCACCAAAGUGAGGAAGCCGAAAUUCCGAACUCCGGCGCCCGUAGUACAGGCAGCAUCACAAGUUAUAAGCAUAAAGGCCUGAGCAAAAGGCAAAGAGCCGAGCUCCCAGCUCGGAUGAACUUGCGACAUGAAAACAACCAAGUUAAAUAGAGCUGAGUAUAGAGGACAUACCAGAGAGCCGAGCUCCCCACAUGAAAAGGCUAGCAAAUGCAGAAAAACACAAAAGGAUAAAGGGAAGCGAGAAACCCUCAUUACAGCUCGGAUUAACUCACGGUAAACAAACACUUAGCGAAGAUGACCCUGGGAGAGGAAAACGACAAAAGACCGAGCUCCCUAUCCUAGUGAAACACACAAUUUAGACUGAACUAAUCGCCGAAAGGUUACCUCCACAGGGAUAAGACGUCUGAGCACGAAACAGGAACGAGAUUUAAAAUUGUCUAGAACGAGGCCGUCAUGCGAAUAAGACACUCCUCUAGGAAUUAUAUAUCCGAGCUCGCAGCACCAUGCGAAGCCAUGAGCUAAAAACAGUGAUGCCCUCAUGAGAAUAAGGAAAACUCGCAAGAGCAGUUCUCGGGCCAUUCAGGUCGUAAAUAUAAUUCAAGGAUUUACCCCCUCGUCACUCAUGAAAUAACCGCCGAGGAGGUAAAGGGGCCCAGAAAGGGAACAAUAGCUCAGAGCCUACCAAGUCCCUUCUUAAGCAAGAUCGACCUAAUGUUCUAAGCCUCGACCUGGAUGCCUGAGGUGAGCUAAGCCCGCCGUAAGUCAGGAUCCAAAAGAAGAGGUCCAAAAAGAUAUUGAAACAAAAAUAAAAUACUUAAAUCCGAACUCGGAUUAUAAUCCAAUAGGAUACUGGGCUGAGACACCGAAACUUCAGAAGGGCAGAACAUCAGGAUCCCCAAAGAUUUCCCAGAACGAAAAGAGCCGAGCUCAGAAAGUUUAAAGGCGGACUAAAAAUCACAAGCCUUCUAUAAUUUGAGAGAAAAUCCAAUAACAUGAAUAGAAGGCCCCAACUUCAAUUCCUAUCGGAGCAGAACUAAAAACGAUAGGCUAGCCCUACUUGUCAUCUUAAAGGAAAAUUAAGGAUGCUCAGUCGGCUGUUCAAAGCCGAGCUCAGAACGAGGACUCCACGUGGGUAAACUUUGUGAGAGGUUAAGUGAACUCACAACUUAAAGACUUUCAUCUCCAAGGCUAGUCCAGCUCGGAAAGAGCUUACGAUUAAGAAUGCCCUAAUGAAGAGGAGAAAUUUACAAGUCAAAAAGCGCAAUCAAUUAGCAGAACCUUAGCUCUGAUGGUCUCGAAAGCGAGAAGGGAAAAUGGUAUAAUUGAUUCUUUAGAGAAAUCAAGAAGUACAGGACAGAGGUGAGAACAGCUUGAGUAUGCACGAAAAGCGAAAAAGAGUUCAAGCGAAUAAAAAUAAAAUUAAAAUUUCGUUAAAGGAAAAGUACAUGACAGCCUGUUACAAGUACCUACACUACGGAAGGAAAUGCUAUCUUUAAAGAACUUACAUGCCUAAAUACAUUAUCAUCUACGUUUACAUCACUAUCACCUACACUACUAUCUUAGCUUUCAACUCGGAAGAAUCCUCAUAGUUUGGAAGACGAGCUUCGUGGGCCUGCUGAACUCUGUCUCGUUAUAGAAGAACUGAACAAGUUGAUUCCCAUAAGCAUUUCUCACUAUUCCAUCACAUGUUGUGUAUGUAUCACGCAUGAAAAACAUAAGUCUUCGAGUUAAAGUCCCAGGAAGAUCAGCUUAGUCACCCUUUUGCUAAGUAUCCCGAGGAGCAAUGGAACAAGUGAAUGUUGCAAACCUUCACACAUACUAUGUUGGACUAAUUUUAGCAGAUUACCCUUGCUUCCUUAUUUAAACAUAGUCAUCAAUGCAUUGUCCUUACUUGCAUAUUUGUGAGCUAAGCUUUGAAUAUCACAGAACAUAUGUUUAAAAGCCCCAGCAGGGGCUCGAUUGAGCACGACAAAUCUCCGUCCUUCAUAGUACAAGCGCUCUAUAUCAAAAUCGACGACCAGUCUAUCGUCUUCACCAUUUCUAGCAAGGAAGUCCUGACACGGACCCUCCACGAGCUGCUCCAUGUUACAUGUGUGAACUGCAUCUUGUAUCCCACAAUAAACCUCAGAAAUCACGCUGUCCCACAAGUUCGAGUCUGGAGUAGACAUCAGGGGCACCACGGGAACCCCCUCUUCCUCUCUGAGGAGAAAGAAGACAAGGGCCGGUCUCCUAAAAGCCCGGAACUUCUUUGGAACGGGAACUGGGGCAGACACUUCAUCGAAGGCAAGACGCUUGCAUCCAACCUCGUCCACUACACCUCCAUCACCCACAAAGCUGAGUUCUUUCCCCUCGGCGAUUGGGGCGACCUCGAUAGAGGUGGCCUCGGCAGGGGCCCCCUGAACACGCCUCCCAAAGGCAAUAUUCGUCCUGCUUACGGAGAUUCGCCUCUCACAAACAUCGUCAGAAGGCGGGGCAGGCUUCGUUUUUAUCAACUCGGAUUCCUUGCUAGGCCUUAAAGCCCAUGGGGACUGGGUGGCUGGAGCAGCUUGAGCGGCCGAAACCAAUCUGCGGUGGCCUAGCGGCCUUGAAGACUCGACACCUCGAGAACUCAACUUCAAAGCUCGGGCAGGAGCGAGGGGAAGAGGCAGGCCAGACGACCUGGACGAUAUCAUUUCGGUGACUGGCUGGAUAACUUCUCCCGCCAUUCGCCCUACUAGGAGGACGUCAGGGGCAAUGUUCAAACUUUGUGUGGGCAACGUAAGAACUUCAAGGAGCCUAAUCUGUUCCAUCUUCGCCUCAUAAGCCACAAAAAACCUGAAAUCAGGGUAAAUCAGAAAAUCGCUCCACAAGAAUCACCAAAAACCAUAUUAAAGCAGAUCUUUAUGAGAAGCAUGGUGGCAAAAAUUUUAGUUCAUCCUGACCAACCUGAAGGAAAAAUCAAACGAACGCCCUACGGGUGUAAGACUCCAACCUAGACAGCUGGUUCGAAAGAAGGCAUGAAGAGAGUAAAAUUGGAGGGAUCGAUUGGACCGGAGGAAUGAAGACUAAGAAGCCUGGUCCCCUCGUCCUGAUAAAGAACCUGAAAGUGAAAAGGAGGUGAUAUUAGUCUAGAGACAGAUGUUCUGAUGAGAACGAGGUGGCUUUAGACCCUAGGCUGACGACGUCAGGGCUCUUAAAGGCCAUUCACAAGAAAGGAAAGAAAGCUAACCUGGAAGAUAAAGGCAGGAAAGCGAAGAUGACAGUGCGUGCGAAGAACAGAGGAAAGCCGGAAAUGGUAAAAGACAGAGAAGAUUCAAAACUCAAAUUGACAAUAAGAUGAAAGGGAGUUAUGAGGCAAGCUGUAUUCGAACGGGCGCGUCAUUAUGAUUCUUGGAAUUUACCCCCUCGACAGUUGAAGCCAUAACUGCCGAGAAGGUAAAGGGGCAAUUGAUGACCGCUGGAUUUCUCCACCCCGGUUCAAGGCCAGACUCAAGAUACCAGCCCAUUAUCCAGAGAUUUCGGAGCUUCACAUUUGUAUCCAGUCCUAUCCACUCCGCUUUGGGACCGGACCUUAGUUAAUUUCUCCAAUCAGGCUGGCCUAGCAUGUCCGGCCCAAUGAACAGAAUCCACUUUGGACUCAGUCUUAAAUCUGCCUUUUAGCCCAGCUCGGAACCAGAAAGAAGAUCUCUCCAUCUGCCUUGUGGACCCAUCCACACGUGCGCUGAGGGAAUCAAAAACCGUUACGCAUGAGGCAGGUACCCGAUAUCCUCGUACGUCCGUAUCAACGUAGCAGGGACAGGUGGCCCAAUGAGAGACGGUUUGUUAUACGUCACUAGCAGGCAAGAGGAAACAGAUAAGGGGAGGAAUGGGCUCCUUGGAAGCGAAGUUUUUUAUCACUUACAGAACCUCUAUAAAACCCUUGUAGAAAAAACCCUAUUUUUCUGGAUCUCAAAUCAUCAGGUAUGUUUUAAACUUUGAGCUUUAAAAGAUAAAUGAUUUGCAUUGUUGUUGGUAUAUUAUAAUAUUAUCCUACUGUUAAACAUAUAUGAGAUUCUGAAUUAAUUACUUAAUUAAUUUAUUUUUUUAUAAAUUAUAAAUAAUUUUAUAAUUGUAUAAAAUAUUUAAAAUUAUUAUAUUUUAUUGUUAUUAAAUAUUAUAUGAGAAUAGUUAUUUAUAAUUUAUCUAAGAGAAAUAAAUAAAUUAAUUUAAUCGCAGAAUAAAUUAAUUAAAUUCAUUAUUUUUUAUAAAUUAUAAACAAUUAGUGAUUGUAUAUAAUAUUUAAUUACAAUAUAAUUUUAUUUUAUAAUUUGAAAUAUUAAUAUAUUUUAUAUAUAUAUAUANNNNNNNNNNNNNNNNNNNNNNNNNNNNNNNNNNNNNNNNNNNNNNNNNNNNNNNNNNNNNNNNNNNNNNNNNNNNNNNNNNNNNNNNNNNNNNNNNNNNNNNNNNNNNNNNNNNNNNNNNNNNNNNNNNNNNNNNNNNNNNNNNNNNNNNNNNNNNNNNNNNNNNNNNNNNNNNNNNNNNNNNNNNNNNNNNNNNNNNNNNNNNNNNNNNNNNNNNNNNNNNNNNNNNNNNNNNNNNNNNNNNNNNNNNNNNNNNNNNNNNNNNNNNNNNNNNNNNNNNNNNNNNNNNNNNNNNNNNNNNNNNNNNNNNNNNNNNNNNNNNNNNNNNNNNNNNNNNNNNNNNNNNNNNNNNNNNNNNNNNNNNNNNNNNNNNNNNNNNNNNNNNNNNNNNNNNNNNNNNNNNNNNNNNNNNNNNNNNNNNNNNNNNNNNNNNNNNNNNNNNNNNNNNNNNNNNNNNNNNNNNNNNNNNNNNNNNNNNNNNNNNNNNNNNNNNNNNNNNNNNNNNNNNNNNNNNNNNNNNNNNNNNNNNNNNNNNNNNNNNNNNNNNNNNNNNNNNNNNNNNNNNNNNNNNNNNNNNNNNNNNNNNNNNNNNNNNNNNNNNNNNNNNNNNNNNNNNNNNNNNNNNNNNNNNNNNNNNNNNNNNNNNNNNNNNNNNNNNNNNNNNNNNNNNNNNNNNNNNNNNNNNNNNNNNNNNNNNNNNNNNNNNNNNNNNNNNNNNNNNNNNNNNNNNNNNNNNNNNNNNNNNNNNNNNNNNNNNNNNNNNNNNNNNNNNNNNNNNNNNNNNNNNNNNNNNNNNNNUUAAUAUUAAAGGAAUGCAUAUAAAAAAAUUUAGAAUUAUAAUGCUAUUAAAUCCAUCGCUUCAUUGAAUUAAUUAUUUAAUUUAUUUAUUUUUAAUAAAUUAUAAAUAAUUUACAUAAAAUAUUUAAAAUUAUUAUAUUAUUUUAAUAUUAAAUAUUAUAUAAAAAUAAUGAGUUGUUUAUAAUUUAUAAAAAAAUAAAAAAAUAAAUUAAUUUAAUUACAAAAUAAAAUAAUUAAAUUUAUUAUUUUUAAUAAAUUAUAAAUAAUUAUGUGAUUGCGUAUAAAUCACAGCAUAAUUUUAUUCUAUAAUUUUAAAUAGUAAUCCAAUAAAAAAUAAAUUUAAUUUUUAUAAUUUUAAAUAUUUAUAUUAAUUAAUUAAUUUUUUUAAUUAAUUAUUUAAAUCAUAUCAUAAUUUUAUUCUAUAAUUUUAAAUACCAGUCUAAUAAAAAAUAAAUUUAAUUUUUAUAAUUUUAAAUAUUUAUAUUAAUUAAUUAAAUUAUUUAUUUAUUUAUUUAUUAUUUAAUUGAGUACUGUUUUACAUAUAUUUAAUAACAGUAAAUAAAUUUAUAAUUAGUAUUAUUUAAUUAUAAUAUUAUUAUAAUAAUAUGUUAAAAUUAAUAAAAUAUAUUAUAGCAAUAUAUUAAAUUAAUAUAAUAUAAAAAUUUUAUUAUAAUACAUUAAUAAUUAAAAAAUAAAAAAAUUAAAUCAGUAUAUGGGUUUUUAGGGUUCGUUGUUAGGGUUUUUAGGUAAAUUCUCUCCUCUUCUUAAUGUGGUCGGCUGUUAUAUGGGUUUUUAGACUGAUUUUUAAUUAAAAUGUUCCAUAAAUAAACCAUCCAAGGGUCUCCCUAAAAGCUAAAGUUGCAAAAUUCACACAUUAUUUCUUUGGGUGGGCCAAAUUGGCUAAGGUGAGUAGCCCAUUCUACCACCUCUUCCUUUUCAAGUCUAACCCACUUAUUUUUUAGAUCUAAUUGAAAGUUAAAAUCCAUGGGAAAGCCUAAAGGGAAGGGAAAAUGUCAUUUUACCUCUAAUUUCAAUUUUCAUUAUUUUUAUUUUUUUAUUAUUUAAUUUUAUUUAUUAUUUUACUAUUUAAUUUAAUUUAUUUUUUAUACCAUAAAAAUACUUUUGGAGUUUUUAAAAUUAAUUUCAAAUGGAUCAAAAGUGAUGUGAUUUUUAUCUUUAGAUUUUCACUAUUUUAUAUAUUCAUAUACACAUAAUAUAAAAUGAGAGGUCUGUGAAUGAAAACAGAAAUAAAAACCAUAGAGGCUAAGAUUCAUUCUUAAUGGUACUAAACAUUGAUGCUAAACUUACUGCAAGGAUGUAAGGAUUAAAAACCUUACACCUGAAAUAAAAAUAAAAGAUAAUUAUAAGAAAAAUGUAAGAAUUAUAGAAAUUCUUCAGAAUUGUAGUCAAGUCUAAUGCAAACAACAUGGAAGAUCAAUUGAGAGAAGCAGCAAAUGUCUUCAUUUUAGGGCAAGAGUCCACAGAUAACUCUUCCAAGGAUGGCCAUUUCAAAGGUAUGUUAUCCAUGCAAAAAGCUUUAAGAUUGUAAAGCUUGUAUAACCUAAUGCUUAUUAAUUGAGAGAACACCACUUUGUCAAUCCUCUUUUCCUCUUCUUCCCUUUCUGCAACAAUUGCUUCUAGUUGAUCACAACAUUCUAAUUCAAGUUCUUUCAGCUGCUCUAGUCCUCGAGCAAUAGAAGUAGGAAAUAUAACUUUUAAUUUCUGGCACCCAUUAAUGCAUACGAUUUGUAGCUUGGGCAGAUGCAACAACUCAGUGGGGCCCUUCGAUAUGUUCUUCAUUCCUUUCUCUUCAAGAACUUGGAGUUGCUCGAAUUCUUGCUGUGGAUUGGGUAAAGUGAAAAUAUUCAACAAUUCUGGACAUCUAAAAAAGGUCAAGUAUUUGAGCUUCCUCAUGGACAAGGAAGUUCCAGGAGGUAGUUCACCAUUGCAUAAUGCUUUGAAGGUGUCCAAAUCCUCAAAACACAGUCCUUCCAGUUCCGGCAACAAAGCAUACCUUCCAAGAAACUCUUCAGCGUUGAUCAAGUAAGAGAAACUAGGACAAUUGACAAUCACUAGUGUUAGGCCCAGCCCUUUUUAAAAGAAAAAAAAAUAGGCCCAUAAAUAUAUUUUAUAUAAAAAGAAAAUUAUUUAAAAAAAAAAAAAAGAAAAAGUGGGCAUUAAAGCUCCGGUUUCGGGAAUGUCCCAAAACAUUCCCGAAACAGAGCAUUCGUCUUCUACCCCCAGAAAACAGAGCGAAAGCUCUGUUAUUUUUUUAAAAAAAAUAAUCUCCUCCUUAACUCAAAUCUCUUCCUCCUCAACUCAAUCAACCCAGAUCCUGUUUUAAACCUAUAUCCUGCGAAAAAAUUCAAUAAUUUCUUCUAGAGACUCCAAAAUUGGGUAGGUGAGUUUUAUCCCUUUUAUUCAAUUUUUAUAAUAUAAUUUAUUUUCUUUACCUUUUAAUAGUGAUUUUUGGUGAUUUGAGAAUAAAAAGGUAUAUAUUUUAGUUAGAUUUAAUUAAUGAGUUUUAAUAUUUAUUUUUGGGAUUAAUGAUUUUUAUAGGUUGAUUUAAAUAAUAUUUACAGCUUAUUGAGUAUUUUUGUUGAGUUGGGUACUUUUGGGAGGACUAACUAUGUUGAAAUACUGCCGAAAUUUUCUUAAAAAUAUAUAUAUAAAUAUAUUUAAAAUUUCAUAUUUUACGUUUUAUAUUAUUGUUCUAGAGCAUUUUUAUUAUUUAAUAUAUUAUUUUAUUUUUUUAUUUUUUUUUUAAAUUCUAGGAAAGGAUCCAGCUUCCAGGAUAGAUAAUAGGGGUCCUCCUGCGAUCUAGGUCUUUUGUCCCAAGUAUUCUGGUGAGUGGAUAAAUAUAUAACAUUGAUAUUUUUUUUAAAAUAUAUUUAUAUGUGAAUAUGUUAUUUUGUUUAUUUAAGUUGGGAAAGGAUAAUGAUAAUUUAUAUUUCUUGAAUAAAUGAAAAUUGAAUUUAAAGCACAGCUGAAUAAAUAGCCGAUUACACUCUGUAUAUGCACCGAACAGAUAACACCUUGAUGACAGGUGAUUUAUUUUCAGCAUGAUAUAUAUAUAUAUACUGUCUUUGGGACGGCGCUUGAUAUACAGAUAGCCUUUGGGGCGUAUGUCAGGUGGUCACCCUUUGGGGGUAGCUCUGCACAUGUGUAUGACCAGUAUUUUAUUUGCUCUUGGGCCAAACUUGUCAUUAUAGAGCCUAAGAUGCCAGCAUUGCUCUCAGGCUGUUAUUAUUUUAUUAUACCUGAGAUGCCAGCAUUAUCUGCAGGGAACAUAUUAUUAGUGUAUGCGGAUUCUAUUUUUCACAGUUUAUUUUAUGUUGAUGAAAUUAAAUUGUAUUUAUUCAGCUGACUUAUUUUAGCUAAAUAUUUGGUACUAUUAAGUACCUAAACUUAUCUUUUCCCCUUUGUUAUUUAUUUAUCCGCUCACUGAGUAGUUGUACUCACCCUUAUAUUUAUUUUAAUAUUACAGUUUCUUUUUGGUGAUCCGCUCAGCAGUCCUCAUUUCCUAGUUUAUCCUCCUUUCCACAUCGUCCACUCAGAGUUUAGAGGAGGUCGGACCAAUCUUAAGUCUUUUGUUAUUUCUUUUUUUGUAAUUUUGUUAGAUCAUGUAUAGAUUGUACAGCCCCAAUGAAGAAGGUUUUGGGUUAUUGUAAAUAUUUUAUGAAUUGACAGGUCCAACUAUCAGUUUUCUCUUAUAUGUUUUAUAUUUUGAAAUUAUAGCAGGUUACAUGUUUUUAUAUGUAUAAAUAUCAGGGGAAGUUCUGUCAGUUUUCCUGGUCAUAUCCAUCUCUAUAGUUUUGGGUUGGGUGUGACAAUUUUUGGUAUCAGAGCUUAGGUUAUAGAUUCUGUAGACUUUCUUCGAGUCAGUAUAGUAAUAGAAGUCGGGGCCGUAGUGUUCGUACAGCUAGAUUAGUUGAUAUUGGUCGACCUCAUAGGGAUCCUACAGUUACACCUCCACCUCUAGAAGGGGUGGCAGAUCAUGUUUUACUUGAGAGCGGAGAAGGGCAUGAAGAUUCUGCUUCUCAUGGUGUUGAAUCAAGAACAUACUCGACCACAGCCUAGUCAGAGCUCAGUAGCACAACCAGUGGGUAGUUCCUUUGGGGCACAGAAAAGUGGGCAAGGAUAUAAUUCUGGGUUUGAACAAAGGAAGAGACAUUUUCCUCAAUGUGCCACCUGUGGUAAAUAUCAUGCUGGGAAGUGCAGAAAAUUCGAUAGGGGUUGUUUUGAAUGUGGUUCUUCGGGCCAUUUUAAGAGAGAUUGUCCAUUGCUGAUAGCCAGAGACAGUGGUUCUCAGCAAGGAUCAGUGGCGCCUCAGAAUCUAAGGCAUGGUGUGACACCAUCACAGGGUGUGCCUACAGCACAAGUUGGGCCUGGCACAAGCAGAGCCAGUGGAGGUACUUCAUCUUCUCAGUCUAGACCAAUGAUGCAACCUGACAGACCUCGCACUCAGGCCAGAGUUUUUGCUGUGACACAGCCAGAGUUUUUGCUGUGACACAGCAGGAGGCACGAGCAUCUCCAAAGGUGGUGACUGGUAUGUUAACUAUUUUCGAUAAAGAUGCACACAUUCUUAUAGAUCCUAGUUCCACCCACUCUUUCGUAUCUCAAUCCUUCUCUAGGCAUGCUGAUAGAGAAUUAAAACCUUUAGACGGUGGAUUAGCUGUGAGUACUCCAGUUGGGGAUUCUGUAGUAUGUGAACAUGUGUAUAGGGAUUGUGUUGUUAAGUUGGGCGACCAUGAGUUGUUAGUGGAUCUGAUUCCUUUGUGUCUACAAGAUCUGGAUGUUAUCCUAGGUGUGGACUGGUUAUCUCGUCAUCAUGCCACAAUAGAUUGCUUCGAGAAAUCAGUGGUAUUUAAUAGUCCAGAAGGGUGUAAGUUCACUUUCUUUGGGGAGAGGCGUUUACUUCCUUCUUAUGUGAUUUCUGCCAUGACUACUAGAAAGUUGCUUCGGAAGGGUUGUCAAGCAUACUUAGCCUAUGUGAUGGACAGUAGUCGGGAAGGACCUAAAUUGGAAGAUAUACCAGUAGUAAGCGAAUUUCCUGAUGUAUUUCCUGAAGAGCUUCCUGGGUUGCCUCCAGAUAGAGAGAUUGAAUUCUCUAUUGAUUUAAUCCAGGUACAGCUCCUAUUUCUAUGGCACCAUACAGAAUGGCUCCAGCAGAAUUGAAGGAGUUAAAAGCACAAUUGCAGGAGCUACUUGAUAAAGGUUUCAUAAGACCCAGUGUUUCACCUUGGGGAGCCCCUGUGCUAUUUGUGAAGAAGAAGGAUGGUUCCUUAAGGUUGUGUAUUGACUACAGACAAUUGAAUCGAGUCACAGUGCGAAAUAAGUAUCCUUUACCCCGCAUUGAUGAUCUUUUUGAUCAGCUCCAAGGUGCUAAAGUAUUCUCUAAGAUUGAUUUGCGGUCUGGGUAUCACCAAUUGAAGAUCAAGGAGUUUGAAAUACCCAAGACAGCCUUCAGAACUCGUUACGGGCAUUAUGAGUUCCUCGUUAUGCCUUUCGGAUUAACUAAUGCACCCGCUGCUUUUAUGGAUCUCAUGAAUAGGGUGUUCAAGCCCUACUUGGAUAGCUUUGUUAUUGUGUUUAUUGAUGACAUUUUAGUAUAUUCCCGUAGCAAGGAAGAGCAUGAGAAGCAUUUACGGAUAGUACUACAGAUUUUGAAAGAUAAACAACUAUAUGCUAAAUUGAGCAAAUGUGAGUUCUGGCUUGAUCGGGUGAUUUUCUUAGGACAUGUUAUCUUAGCAGAUGGAGUUUUGGUUGAUCCUAAGAAGAUUGAAGCAGUAGUCAAUUGGGAUCCUCCGACUAAUGUUACAGAGGUUAGAAGUUUUCUGGGUUUAGCAGGGUAUUAUUGUCGCUUUGUUCAGGAUUUCUCCAUCAUUGCAGCACCAUUGACUAAACUCCUUCGAAAGAAUGCAAAGUUUGAAUGGACAUAUGAAUGUCAAGAGAGUUUUGAGAAGCUUAAAACUUGUCUCACAUCAGCUCCAGUUCUUACCUUACCCUCAGGUACAGAUGGAUUUGUGGUGUAUAGUGAUGCUUCUCACAAGGGUUUAGGCUGUGUACUCAUGCAACAUGGGAAGGUGAUAGCUUAUGCUUCUAGACAGCUUAGACCAAAUGAAUUAAAUUAUCCCACCCAUGAUCUGGAAUUAGCUGCAGUUGUGUUUGCAUUAAAGACAUGGAGGCAUUAUCUUUAUGGCGUGACUUGCCAGAUUUUUACAAAUCGUAAGAGUUUGAAGAAUCUUCUCACACAGAAGGAGUUGAAUUUAAGGCAGAGACGGUGGAUUGAGUUACUUAAGGACUACGACUGUACUAUUGAAUAUCAUCCAGGUAAAGCUAAUGUGGUAGCUGAUGCCCUUAGUCGCAAGUCCUUUAGUAAUUUGGCCUAUUUCAAAACAGUUCGGCUUCCUUUAUUACUAGAGAUCAGAUCCUUAAGGGUAGAACUAGCAGUGGAUGAUGUAGGAGCAUUGUUAGCAACUCUCAAAGUUCGACCAGUGUUGAUAGAAAGAGUCAGAGAAGCCCAAAAUCAAGAUGAGCAGUUGAGUAAGAUCAGUAAUGAAGUAAGAGAUGGCACACGUACCGACUUUUCUCUAAGGGAGGAUGGAACUUUAAUGUUUGGUGAUAGACUAUGUGUACCCAGAGUGGAAAGCUUGAAGAGAGAGAUUAUGGAGGAAGCCCAUUGUUUUGCUUACUCUAUGCAUCCAGGCAGUACAAAAAUGUACAGAGAUCUUAGAGAAAACUAUUGGUGGCCAGGUAUGAAGAAAGAAAUAGCUGACUUCGUGUCUACAUGUUUAGUUUGCCAACAGAUUAAAGCAGAACAUCAACAUCCAACAGGG